GAUGUUACACCCAAGGGCGUUUCGUACAUUUUCGCCUAUCUAGGACAUAUCUAUUAUCAUCUUUCUUCCUUUUCAGAAGUGAGGUAUGUUUUGAUGGAUAUUUUUCUCCUUAUGUUUGGAGGAUAAAAGAUUAUAUUGAUUCCCUCGUGCAUUUGAUAGCGAACAUUAUUGGCUAUAAGACGAGAAUAUGUUUUUCAAAAUGUCUUUCUCGCAUAACAGAUAACUUUAAGUGAAUUGUGAUAGUUCAUUUGACUUGUUCACUACCUGGUACACACAUUUUCAGGGGUAUUUUUAUAUUGUGGCAUACAAGGUAAGUAAAGCAUCAAAAUAUUCUUAUUUAAUUUUUAAAUAUUAUAACAUUGAUAUGUUCUUUUAAAUCUAUCAUUUAUAUUUCAGGGUGUUUCGACAGUCGUUAUAGAAGUAUUUCGUAAUAAAUCUACCAUCCAGGGAUGUUAAUACUUCGAAUCUGACCAAACGGUAAGUGUUAUUUUGAAAAAAAAAAUCUUUUGGUUAUUGCGGAUCGAAUUAAUGCAAGAAUAAACCAUCAAUUAUCCUUUAAACUAAUUACAAAACAAACCGUGUACACAGUAAACAGCUUCAUAUUCAUGUUGAAAGCGUGAAACGAUCAUGGUUUCCACAAAAGGAUUACUGACGUAAAUGUAGUGAAAUAAUUACAUCUGGAAAUCAUAAGCUGGUCACGCCUAGAAUAUAUGCAAAUAUUCUUAACGCGCUUGGCAUUCGUUUGUGAUAAAAUGUAAAGGAAGUAGCGAAAAAUUGCUAUUGUUCUAGUGCUAAAAAUAUAAGCUAUAAAUAAUGCAGAACGGUAAAUUACUCACACAUAACACAAGAAUAAGUACGGAUAAUAGUAUGGUGAUUGUAUUUUACGUAUAAAAUUAUUUUCUUUCUCUCUCUCUCUGUGUCUCUCUCUCUCUCUCUCCCAGCACGAAUACGCACAUUCAUGUUUACGAGUUAGUUAAUGGUAUCUUGGAAAAGUAAUAUGGAAUGAGCACAUGAAAGAAAGAUUUUCAAACGUCAAGAUGACUAGACAAUCGUAUAAGGAACGUGGGUGGCAUACAUCAUAUAACCAGUUGAGAUAGAAUUUUGUUGUGGAUUUGUGAAGAGACGCAGUAACUCGUGUCCGGCUGGAACCAGGCAUCACUGUAAAGUGAUGAUUCAUGAUUUAGAGGGAGAAGAAACAAAUGCCUUAUCACAUAAUGGCCAAUGUGAGGCGAACAUUUCAGCUAAGAAUAAGGAAAAAUUUGAUCAGCAAUGAGUAAAAUACAAAUAAUUGGUGCAUAGUUAGAGUGCAUAUAUAUUCAGAAAUCUUUUUGUGGUGGCUCCACAGACGAAGAGGGAGGGUUUGCGUUACAGUGGGAACCCCUACAGCAUGGAGAUUCCUUGGUAGCAUCAAUACUACUUGGCUUCUCUAAGAGGAGGAAUAGUAUCGAAAGUUGGUUCAAUUGUUCUUAAUUCCAUUCGGUAUAUGACGGGAGUGCCCCGCAGAGCUUUGUGUAUGGAACUUACUAUAUGGAAAUGCAUAUACUCUUACUACUUUCCUAAUAAUUUUUGCAGUUUCUUGGGAAGUGUCACUUUCAAUGAAACAACAUUGAACAAAAUCACGUUCAACGAUAUUUGCUGAAAUAUAUGCAAAAUCCAAGGUUGCUACCAUAUAAUGCUCGUCACAAAAACCCUGCAUCUCAAACCAGUAUUUAGUAGAAGACAAUGGAAUAUAUAGACUCUAAUGCGUAUUUGUAGCAACUGAACCCUUAAAAAUGUCAUGGAUAGCUAAUGCACACACACAAAUUCACAAACAUGCAUACAAACUGUCACACAGUUGUACACACAAAACCACAUGCAUAUGCAUGCACAGGUACACACACACACACACCCACGACCACAUCGCUAUCUCUCUUACCUUUUCUUCAUAGCAAGCGCACAUCUACAUACAGGCUUACAUACACACAAGCUUAAUACCAAUUCUCAUACGGGCGUAACAAACAAGGAGGAGAGUCAUAUGUAUAUUCUUUGGAAGAUUUGCACCCUAGUACUAUUUUUUGUUAUUUUUAUAAAAGUUUAUUUGCUUCACAUUCAUGUCCAAUCAGAUGUAUCUCAUCCUGGUUGAAGAUUUAUUGCAAUGUAUAUCCUUCUUUUUCAUUAUAUUUGCGAUCAACCUGAAGAAGCACCAACAGUUUUUUGUCGUUAUUUUAAAACUCAUCUGUUAUCUGCAUGCCAUAAGCGUUUGAGCUAUUCUUUAAAAAUAAAACACAACUCAAAUAUAACUUGAUGCAACUUGUUCGAUUUCAGCAAUCCAACUCGAAUUUCUGUAAUACUACAAAUUCAGUUUCUAAUAUUGAUUUCAAAUUUUGGCCAGUAAUUUAGUGUGAGGAGGUAAGUUGAUUACAACGACCUUAGUGUUCAAUUCAAUAGGAUGAAAUGUAAAAUCCACCUCGGCGAAAUUUAAACUCAGAACGUAACAACUGACGAAAUGUCGCUAAGCAUUUUCGCUGGCGAUCUAGCGAUUCUGCCAGUUUGCCGCUUUCAAUUCAGUUUCUAAUAUAAUUCACCUUUGAUUUUCGUGCAUAAAAGCAUCAGUCUUUACGCUGCAUAAUUUGCCGUCCUUAAAGCAGGGUUAAAUCGAAGUAUAAAUGUUUGCAAAGCGAAAAUCCAAAAGGUGUGCAUUUACCACCCCGCAUGUGAAUAAUAAAAUAACAUCUUAGCUUGCAUCUGGUUGGUUUCGUAGCAAUUUUACAUACUCUCUACAGGUUACGCUUCUCCCCAUUUAUUACAAUUUUCAUUUCAUACAUUAUCGAAAACAACCUGCAGUGAAACGUGGUAAUAGAAAUCGUUAUAUACAACAGAGAAAUUAGAGCAGCAUACGAGAAUUGUAAGUGAAUUAACAAACCCUACUUUAGAUGUGUAUUAAACUAUUUUUGUUAAAAGUAGUCUUUCUAUAAUUUUUAGUGCAUAUUUUACACUUUAAGUUUUGACGUAUUCUUAAGGAGCGCAAGAUUAUUAUGUAGACGGCUUUCAUAUAAAGAUAGCAUCGUCUCCUACGAACAUAAAACAUGACAAGCUGCAUGAUUAGUAAUUUUCUAUAUCUUUAUGUAGUAUUUAAUUUUCAUUUUAGUGAAUGUAAGAUAGCAAUAGGUUGCAAGACGAAAAAAGAAAAAUGAAACAAAACUUCAUUACGAGAAGCGAACGUUUUGCUAAUUUUCCUUUUUCUACAUGCGAUUUCUAUCUAAUUUCUCAUGUGAGUGUGCAUGUGUGUAUAUAUAUGCACACACACACACACACACACACACACACACACACACACACACACACAUAUAUAUAUAUAUAUAUAUAUAUAUAUAUUUACAUACAUACUCUUACUCUUUUACUCUUUUACUUGUUUUAGUCAUUUCACUGUGGCCCUGCUGCAGCACUGCCUUUAGUCGACUAAAUCGAUCCCAGGACUUAUUUUGUAAGCCUAGUACUUAUUCUAUCGGUUUCUUUUGCCGAACCGCUAAGUUACGGGGAAGUAAGCACACCCCCAUCGGUUGUCAAGCCAUGUUAGGGGGACAAACACAGACACACAAACACGGACACACACAAAUAUAUAUAUAUAUAUAUAUAUAUAUAUAUAUAUAUAUAUAUAUAUAUAUACGACGGGCUUCUUUCAGUUUCCGUCUAACAAAUCCACUCACAAGGCUUUGUUCGGCCCGAGGCUAUAGCCGAACACACUUGCCCAAGAUGCCACGCUGUGGGACUGAACCCGGAACCAUGUGGUUGGCAAGCAAGCUACUUACCACACAACCACUCCUACGCCUAUACAUGCACACAUAUACACAGCUGCACCUCUUUCUAUGGUCUCCAUUGCAUAAUGCCAUUGACAUUAUUACGGAAAGGGACUUAUCUUUUCAACACAAUGCACAAUGAGAAAAUCUGUUGCCUAUAUAAUACGUACAUUGUUCUCUCGAUUGGACGACUUUGGAUUCACAUAAUUCAAGUUUGCUUUUCAUUCUUCAAUUCCAUUCUCCUGGAAGGAGAGAAAAAUUAGAUUAAUUUGAACCAUAUUCGAUGAGAUUACGUACGUUUAUUCAUUACUGUGUGUUAGCAGUAGAAGGCUCAAAGGAAUAUUGGAACAUCAACAUAUAAUUUUGGAUUAUUGUACCAUUGUAACGAUCGAGAUAUCACAUCCAUUUUUAAAUGAUGCAUAAAUCAGCUUGAUGAAUAUAUUUUUCAGUAGGCAUUUGUUUUGUAGCAUAGGAAAACUCCCCUUCUGUAAUUAUCUAAUUAGAAUUUAAUAUAUUGUUUCUAACAUUAUCUUGUUAUAUUGUUUAGUUGUAUCUGACAUGUCACAAUACUUUCGUAUAGUUUCUGAUAACUAAUGAGUAUGAUAACAUGUUAACAUCUUCCGCGACACUGCUUCACUAAGCGCGACAUCAGAAAUACUCCAGUUAUCCUCAAUAUCGACAGGAUUGUGUGUAACCAAUGUACAUGAGUAAGCAAGCAGAAUUUAGCAUUUUCCCUCGAUACAGCAAUCUUCCUAAAGUAAACUGAUGCUAAUGAUAUAUAAAUUGAGAUUUGUUGUUAAGUCCAUACCCUCAUAAUGCUAUGAUAAACAGCAUUUUGUCAUGACCUCAAAGUCCUUCUUGGAGUGAUAUUUUUGAAUACCUUUCUCUUAUCUAUAACGAUACGCUGAGAAAUGAGAAGAAUGUGACUGAUCGUUAAAACGUGUUUAGAGAAAUGGUAUAGGCUUUGCGUUAAUUGUGUGGUUUAAAUCGUCACAAGCAGUAGAAAAAUAAAACUUACAUUGAAAUUUCUCUCAAAAUUAUUAUACAUGAUAUUGUGUCUAGGGAGAGUCAUUACGGCAAUAUUGACAUUGCCCUCGAUGCUUCAAUUCCACUCUUUUAAUAUUAGUCAUUGGUUAUAUAUCUAUCUAAUUACCUACUUGAUCGUGUGCUUAAUUUUUUAGUUAAACAGUCAAUAACGUUUGGCUUGUGAAAAUACUUUUAUUGCCACCGGCAACAUUUUCGAUGACUUCUUUUUUGGUAUGUUCUAUAAAGAACCUCGCUUACCAAAUACAAAAACCCAAAAUGCUAUACAUUGGCUCUAUAACUUACGAUUAGCCUUAAAAGUUAAACAGUACUUUCUCUCCCUUUCACGUGUUCCCCUCCUUGCUUUUCAUUCUCUGUUCUUCACUGUCAAACGUAAGGCAAGGCCUGAAAUCUCUUUUUGUUUUCACUGCAAAUAAAUAUACCUAUUUCCCCUGGUGACGAUUUACUAAUGACGGAGAACAUCACGAAUUUCUUUACAUCCUCGCGUUCACUUCAGAGGUUGAGGACUGCUAAUACUGAUUGGCUACUUUUCAUACCUAAAUACUAUUUUAUUGCAUUUCUCAUCAUAAUCUCUAUCUGACGACUUGGACUUCUGUAUUGUAUGUGAUUUUCCGUGCGUAUUUACACAUAUCAAUGCUAUGCUUUGCUUCUGACACACACACACGCACACACACAUGUAUAUAUAUAUGUAUGCAUAUAUACAUAUGUACUUAAAUAUAUAUAUAUGUAUAAAUAUAUACACAUACGCGCACACGUACAUAUAUAUAUACAUGCAUACACACACACACAUAUAUAUAUACACAUAUGCAUGUGUGUGCGUGUUUGAGAAUAUGUGUGUGUAUAUAUAUAUAUUAGAUAUUCAUACAUAUAAAUACAUACAUGCACAUUUGUAUAUAUAUGUAUGUUUGUAUAUACGUAGUUACGUCUAUGUCUGUGUGUAAGUGUGUGUAUGUGUUUGGGUAUGUGUGUGUGUGUUGUGUGUGUGUGUGUGUGUGUGUGUGUGUGUGUGUGUGUGUGUCAGUGCUUAGUUAAAUAUUUCAGCAACGAAUCAUAAAAUGAGACAAAUGACUCUAUACUCGGAAAUUAAUGUCUACCGUACAGCCAUUCAUAAAGCAAAAAGAGAUGAAUUUAUAAAUAAAUAAAAAAAAUCGUCUUGGCCAAAAACGAACACAAGCAAAAUUUCUCGAUGAAUAUAACAGCGAAGAACAAAUAAGAGAAUUAUGAAUAUUAUAAUAUAUAUAUAUAUAUAUAUAUAUAUAUAUAUAUAUAUACAAUACCAAUAAUUAUAUAAUAUGUAAUCAUUGGCAAUAUAAAAUGUUAAAUCAAGUUGAAGUAAGUUGGAAUAAUGCCUUAGGAAGAUUUGUGUUUGGUUCCUUGACUCAUUGGUUGCUUGAUGAAAAUUCUGUCUAUAUUAGUGAUUUGAAUGAUCUGGUGCUGGCAGUAUUGAAUCGUUAGUAUAAUGUUUGUUGUCUUUCUACAAGGUGAGGCCUGUAACGGUUGUGAUGAAACUGUUAGUAUUCCUUAAGUGUGAUGUAAGUUGUGAUGGUAGGUGUAAUUGUAGUAGCAAUAGUAGUUUUGAUUGUGUUGUUAGAGUGCUCGUGCAGUUUCAUGUAGUAGUGUUAGAGUUGGCUUUAAGAAUGGUGAUGUUAGUACUGUUGUGUUACUGAUUAAGCUGCUAACGGAGGUUCGAAACCUAACAGAAUGAGAAAUGAAUGGAAGGUGACAAGAACAGUAGCAAGAACAGUGACAACAAUGACAAGAACAUCUCCUCCCUCUUCUCCUCCUCCCCAUCUUCCACCUCCUCCUUCAUCUUUUUCUUUGUCUUCCCUCUAUUAUUAUUAUGAUUAAUAAUAAUAAUAAUAAUAAUAAUAAUAAUAAUAAUAAUAAUAGUAGUAGUAGUAGUAGUAAUAAUAAUAAUAAUAAUAAUAAUAAUAAUAAUAAUAAUAAUAAUAAUAAUAAUAAUAAUAAUAUUAUUAUUAUUAUUAUUAUUAUUAUUAUUAUUACUAUUAUUUUUCGUUUUUGGAUUUGGUUUGCAAGAUUCUUUAUAUGAGUUUGUAUGUUGAAGCAUAUUCUGUUGUGUCUGGGGAGAGUCAUUCUCUUUUAGUGCCUUAUUAUUUAACACACUCAAGACUAUUGAAAAGGUUGCAAAACGCAACGGAAAUUUUAGAAAAUAAAAACAAGAAAUAAGUGGAAAUUUUACCGGUGAGUGUGUUAAAUAAUAAGGCACUAAAAGAGAAUGACUCUCCUCAGACACAACAGCAUUAUUAUUAUUAUUAUUAUUAUUAUUAUUAUUAUUAUUAUUAUUAUUAUUAUUAUUAUUAUUAUUAUUAUUAUUAUCAUUAUUAUUCAGUAGUUUUAUUUUUAUAGCGUGCUUUCACUUCACUACCGAGCGCAGCUCUGUGUGCCUUGGGUAUGUGUUGUGAUCUGUUGUGAUGCUCUGAUGGUUAUUGUAUGGAAAGUGUUCUGCGUAGGAUGUGUGCAGUGCCUAGUAGUGCAAUUUUCUGUAUGUUAUAUGUGUUUGUAAGUCCUGGUGUUUUUGUCAUUAUUAUUAUUAUUAUUAUUAUUAUUAUUAUUAUUAUUAUUAUUAUUAUUAUUAUUAUUAUUAAUAUUAUUUUAUGUCUAACUUUUGCUUUGCAUUUGUACCAGUUGGCUCCAAGUCUCACCCAGAGACCUCAAGAGACAACAAGUUAGAAGUUUACGCUGGUGCUAUAACUAAGGUGUCAUAUAUUUGGUUUUGUACAUUGUGUUGUUCUUGAGACUGUUUAAGACUCUAUAAGAAAAUUAUGUGUUUGUUUUAAAAUUUGGGAUUACAUAGACAGUCUUUUACGUAGGAAAUGGGCAGUUCUCAUGAACACUAUCUUUGCAUUUCUGCCAUUUUGGGGAUUCCUGGUAUCUGCGCUAGGUAGCAAUUAUCUCCUUUUGCUAUCUCCUAUGGCAACAGGUAUUGUUUUAGUCUUCAGGUUCCACAUUUUGCAAAUUUCUUUUUCAAGAUCUUUAUACUUACUUGCUCAGUUUUGGUAGGUCUUGACAGAUACGUUUAUAUCGAUUGGGAUAGUUAUAUCAAUGAGGAGGAAUCAUGAUUUUUGUCUGAAGAUUUUCAAUAUGAUGUCUGGCUUAUUUGCAUCUAUCUUUCUGUCAGUUUGAAUGGUGAAGUUCCAGAGUGAGAUGUGAUCAUUUUCAAGCAAUGGAGGUGGUUUGUGUUCCCACCAGUUUUUAUUAUGUGACAAGUCCAGGUUUUUGCAAAUUACCCAGUGAAUAUAUUGUGCAGCUCUAUCAUUCCUGUUAAGAUACUCUGUAGGCACAAAAAAACUGCACAUGGAGACAACAAGAUCAAUGGUCUCAUUUUGUUGUUGAUAUACACGACAUAUUGGGGAGCAGCCGUUCUUUAAUAUGUUGGCCCGGUAGUUCCUAGUAGGUAGGCAUUAAUCUUGGGCUGCUAUGAUAAGCCCUUCUGUUUCUGAUUUUAAGUCAGAAGCCAUUAGCCAUUGAUGGGUAAAGGUUCUGUCAACAUCGCCACUAUUCGCUCUCUUUGGGUAUUUGCCAUAGAGAGAUUUUUCUUGCCAAUUAUCAGUCAGAAUAUCUAAGGCACGGGUUUUCAUGUGCUCAGCUUUUUUCUGCGCUUGUUUCUAGCACGUCUAAUUCUGGAAUUUGUUGUAUUCGGAAUUCACUUAGAUAUUCCUUUGAUGAUGAUGAUGAUGAUGAUGAUGAUGAUGAUUACGACAAUGACGACGAUGACGAUGAUGAUGAUGAUGAUGAUAACGAUAGUGAAGUCGGUCUUGGUGAUGUUUGUGAUGGUCGUUGUGGAAGCGAUAGUGGUAAUUUUGCUGCUCAUCAAUACAAUUAUAAUGAUAACUCCUUGAAGCUGUUUAAUUCCACCAGCCAUUUUCAACAGGGUGAUUCUAUUUUCUUGCCGUUUAUAUCCGCUUAAACAUAAUCCGGCAAACAGAGUAUGCUUUGGUUACACAACUGAUGACAAUGUGUGCAACUUACAGUCUGAUUUUUUUUUCUCGUCUGUGAAUUUGUUGUUGUUUCCUGGUUAUUCUGCGUUGAGCAAACCUAUACUAUUCAAAUUUACUCCAACUGUGACAAUCUCGCCACAGUUUUAGCUAUGGUAAUGUAUGAUUUGAGGGCGAUCUAACUGGUACCAUGUAGAGGCUUCCUCUUUGGCUCUUAAUCUGAGAGACAGACAUAAGCACCUGAGUGAUAUCGAAAAAGAAUUUCUAUCUUAUGAUGUCCGAGUUAAGUAAGUCUCAACUAUUUGAAUAAGGCGUCGUAAGCGGGGCCAUUUAAGCACCUCCCUUCGUUGUCGCACAAAUCGCUGCACUAAAGUGUUUUUAUUGACGGCUUUUCACCAUAUACAUAGAUUAGAUUUGGAGCUCUAGACCGUGAGGAACACCGGAAGGUUGUCCAGCCUGCCUAUGCCUAUUGUACUUACUUUUUGCAGUGGAGAUGAUUGCAUAUCGGUUGGGGUAUAUGCCUUAUAGAAUCCUAUUGGGUUCAGACACACACUGGCGCACACUGCUUGUCAUUUUACACUAUUUUUCCAAAGCGGCACGAUUCAACUUUGAUCCACUUUCUGAUACGUCGCUAUUUUUAGCUUUAUUUGGAAAUUAUAUUAAAGAUAUUUUUGUCCAGUCAGUAAUAAUUUAUUACAAAAUAAAUUAAAUUGGUUUUGCCGUAUGUAUUCUUAACUACUUUUAUUCAUAUCAACGCGCAAUUUUAGUAGCACAAAUCACGGAAGCACUGUAAUUACAAUGGAAUUAAGUGAUUUGUUACAGUAAUUUGCUAAUGCAGUUCAAUAAUGUAAUGCAUGAAUUGAGAAAAGCCAGUAACGUAAAAGUCAACGAACUGUUACUUCUCACUGAAAUUUAUUACAUUAUUCAUAAUUUAUUGCUGAUUUUCAUCACACUAUAGCUAUAGCUGUAUUACCAAUUGCAUUAAAUAUUCGGAACAAAGUUUUCAAGCAAUCAUUACAUGAACGUGUUAAUAUUUUUAGAUAUCUGCUUCAUAAAUACAGUGUAAAAUUACAAUAUUGAUUAAAAUUGACUUUAAGCUCGAAAUAUGUUGAUAGUUUGUAAAUAUUUAUUAUAACGUAAUAGGAUUUGCAUAUAUUACAGAAUGCUUGAAUGCAUAAUUGGAACACUGGCGGAGAGGCUGUAGUGCUGGCAAUAUUUUGUAAAUCUUUACUUCUAGCUAUACACGUUGAUGGUGAUGAUAAGCCAUCUACUCGCGAUACUAGAGGGCGCACACUCUUCUACCCUGAUGUAAUCUCCAGGGAUACAGACAUCCAGCAACAGGACCUCUGUAAUGCUAUGGUGGACCGUGAAGUCUGGCGUAGCAUGGUGAAUUCCAUUGUCUCGACCACGGUCGAACAAUGAUGAUGAUGAUGAUAUGACGGGCGUAUAUUUCUAAUUUUAUAUCAGUGCUAUCACGAUAUUAGAAAGAUAGUAGUUUGAUCUAAAGUUUUCAGUCACAUAAAACUCUAACUAGUAUAUUGAGACAUAUUCGGGUUUAUUUAUUUAUUUUUUUUAUGCUAGUACAUCAAGCAAUGUUUCCGAUCUCACCGGUUUGAUAAACUGAACUUGAAACUGGUUUCAUCUGUUACUUAGCACCGGAAGGACGUCUAAAUAAACUGUGUAGUAGUUUUAUAAUAGAUAGUUUUAUUCCAAACUAUGCUCAUUAUACAGUAGUUAAUGAUUAAAACUCUAAAAAUCUUAGCUAAUUGAUAAAAAUUUACCAGGAGAGAAAGUUCAACGACAGAAAUAAACCUCAUGUAAAGUUGAAAUGAUUAAAUACGAAUUCUUAGAGACGACACCAAGGUAUACUACUUUAAGUAAGCAUAAAAAUAACGCUGUAAUAAAACUCAAAUUUGCAACAAAAUACCAAAGCUGAUUUUCAAGUCAAAAUAAAGGAAAAUUAGAACCAGACUUACCAGAAGUUGUAGCUUGAGAUGCAAAUAUCUGUAGCGUUGACCAUUAAAAGAAUUCUUUCAUUAUCAAUUUCAGUUAAUAUGAUAGUACAUAAGGCAACAUGAACGGAAUAUAUAGAUGAUAUUACUCUAUUGUUACCGAAGUGUGAGAUGCAAGGCACAUUUAACAUUUCAAGUGAUCGUUUAAUUUCUAUAUAGUAAACGAGAAGAUAAAAUUAUAUGUGCGAGAUUUAGUGCAAAUCGGUGUAGAGUACUUAAUAUUGGUUUCAAAUUUUGUCACAAGAUUAGUAAUUUCUAGGGAGGAUCUAAGUCAAUUACAUCGACCCAAAUUCCUCGGCGGAAUUUGAGCUAAGUAAGUGUAGACGGGGGGAAAUACUGCUAAGAAAUUUUGCGCGACGUACUAAAAAUUCUGCCAGCUCGCCGCCCUCUUUCUACUAUAGGGACAAGGCCUGAAAUUUGUGGGGAGGGGACUGGUCGAUUACAUCGACCUCAGACUUUCACUGGUACUUAAUUUAUCGUUCCCCAAAGGAUGAAAGGCAAAGUAGACCUUGGCGAAAUUUGAACUGCAAACCUAGCGACGGGCGAAAUACUGCUAAGCUUUUAUACCAGUGUGUUAACGUUUCUGCCAGCUCGCCGCCUAAAAUCAUUUCUACUAUAGGCACGAAGUAAGAAACAUUUGGGGAGCGAAUAGUUGAUUACAUCGAUCCCAGUGCUCAGCUGGUACUUAUUUUAUCGACCCCGAAAGGACGAACGGCAAAGAGGACCACGGUGGAAUUUGAACUCAGAACGUAAAGAUGGACGAUUCUGCCAGCUCGCCGCCUUAAUAAUAACAUCAAUAAUAAUAACCAUAGUAAUAACAACUGAUAUGUACGCUUUAAGUUCAUGAGUUUCAUGUGUUUAUUCUGUAGUUUUCUUAUUUUUCUUUAUAAAUGGAUAUAGUCAGUUUUGGAGAAAUAAUGUUCCUGUGCCUACCGGUGUAUUUACAAUGUACCUAUAGUAUAUUCUCAUUUUUAAUUUCGAGCCCUAUAGUUUUAAUACUAUCUUAUGGGCUUAUGAUUGCUUUGAAUGCAUGUUCUGUUCCGACUUAUAUAUCGAACAAUAAGAAAGGAAAAAAAUGCAAAUUGGUUCACUAAUUUUAGAGGAACAAUUUAACUUUUCAUUAGAUUAUGUGAGCAGGAAUAUUGAAUACUUCAUAAUGUAUGACUCAAACUGUUACAUUUUCAAUAUUAGCAUAUAUAUUUAUACAUGCACACACAUACACACACACACACACACACACACACACACACACACACAUAUAUAUAUACAGUCAUGUGCUUGUGUGUGUUUGUGCGAACGAGUAUUGUCUGUAUUCAUGUGUAUGUGUUGUUUGCGUAAGUGUGCGUCUGUGUAUGUUAGUGUGUAAUUCUGGUUUAGAUAAAAAAAAAUGAUGCUGAAAUACAGUAGACAUUAUAUAUUUCUAUUGCCUAAGAGAAACUGCCGAGAAUCAUAUACCGUUCGCUAAACAGAACCACUCAAUCAUUUAGCUUUAUUUGCCAUUCUUCUGAAUACAUAUUAAUAUAUUCUGCAUUUACUUAUUAACAGGCCAUCAUAUAAAUAAGAAGUGGAAUUUCUUAUGUAAUAUAAUAUCGAUACCAAUGCUUAAUCACGCGUAGUAAUUUACUUCUCCUUAGUAAUGAUAUAAUUCACACUCCUGAAUUAUUUGAUAUCAUUUAGAGAAUUCUCAAAAUGUAGUUUUUCUUUCAAAAUCUAGUGUUUCGACACAAACUACGCUUGAAUCAAGUUUCCAUGUCUGAUAAAAACAUAUCGAUAUUCAUUUGUUGUUUGUUUUACACUCCAUGGUUGCAGAAUUUAUUUUGGACCCACAAUCUCAAGCCCUACCAAUCCGAUGCCCUUAUGUGGUCCAGGAGGAAGCUAAACGCUCAUGUCUUCCCUAGUCGAAAUACCUCUUUAAAUCCACACUACUCCAGAAGAGACUAGGGGCUUCAUUCUCGUUAAUCUCAGCAUAUCUGUCGAUAAUUUUGUGCCUGUUUGAAUAUAUUUCGAAGAGGCAAUGUUAUCAUCAACAACGUGGCUGUGUGGUAGGUAGCUUACUUACCAACCACAUGGUCCUGGGUUCAGUCCCACUGCGUGGCACCUUGGACGAAUGUCUUCUACUAUAGCCUCGGGUUGACUAAAGCCUUGUGAGUGGAUUUGGUAGACGGAAACUGGAAGAAGCCCGUCGUAUAUGUAUGUAUGUAUGUGUGUGUAUAUGUUUGUGUGUCUGUGUAUGUCCCCCAACAUCGCUUUACAACCGAUGCUUGUUUGUUUACGUCCCGUAAGCUAGCGGUUCGACAAAAGAUCCCUAUAGAAUAAGUACUAGGUUUACAAAGAAUAAGCUCUGGAGUCGACUUGCUCGACUAAAUGUGAUGCUCCAGCAUUAGCGUAGUCAAAUGACUGAAACAAAUAAAGGAAUAAAAGAAUACUUGGCCAGGGAUAUCUGAAAGUUUUCCUGGUUGCCCCACGCACCCACUUCAUACACCGACAGCAGACCAGCCUGUCGAUUCUCGCCGGCGUCCAGAGCUCCAUGUGAAUAUCAUUGCUCAGUGUCUCUCAUUAUCACUUCAUUUCGGACGGAAUACCUUGCGUAAUUUAUUUGCAGACAAGUCGUGAGGUUUCCGUUAAUCAUCUCCUUAUAUAUAGAUUUCAAAUGUUGGUACAAGGCCAGAAGGGAUGAAUCUAUUAUAUCAACCCCUGUGUUUAACUGGUACUUAAUUUAUCGAACCCCAUAGGAAGAGCAGCAAAAUCGACCUCGACGGAAUUUGAUCUCAGAAAUGUGAAGACGUUCGAAAUAGUGCUAAGCAUUUUUCCUGGCAUGCUAAUGGUUCUUCCGGGUUACCACCUUAAUCUCCUUAUAUACAUGUGUGUGUAGCUGGAUAUAUACGCAUAUAUCUGUCUCUGUUUUAUACGGAUAAACACGCUAACAGAGAUACAGACAUAUAGACUGACACACACACACGAACACAAAUAUAUGUAGAUAUUCACGUGCGCAAUCAUGUCUUCACCCCCACACACAUACCUCUAUUCUGAAUUCUCAACGGUGAACUAAUUAAGAAUAUAAUUGCAAAGAUAUUCCUAUCCGACAGAAUGAUGUAAAAAUCAAUAAAAGUAAUAUUGGUGAUUGGUGGAUCGUACCCAUCAAAAUUUCUUCCAAAUGUAAACCCAAAACUCGGGAUAUAGUAAUUGGAGUCAGACAAUAAAAGUGUGUUCUGCCAUAGAGAUCAGGUGUCACCCUGGUAUGAAUAUCUUCGGAAAUCAAAGAGCAAGAGGAUAAUUCGGAUAACUGUUUUGAAAUCUUCGGCUUCUAUAUCCAUAUCAUAAAUUCACAUUUAUAUCAAUAAAAAUGGAUGCAUUUGUUUUGGUUGGUAAAUGCCUAAAUAAUUACCUAGAAAGGGUUUUCAGAAAAAAGAACCAACCAAGUAAAUCGCACAUUACAAUCCAUAAGCAAAACAAUACGAAUCUGCAAGACUUUGCUAAAUUUCAGUAUAUGUCAUUUUUGUGUUUUAGUUAUUUGCAUUCUGAUGAAAGAAAUUUGUAUCUUUGUUAUAUACCAGUUCCUUUCUUAGCGGAAGACAUUGAGUAAUUAAAAAUAGAACACACAUACAUACACAUAUGCACGCACACGCACAUACAUACACAUACACACACACACAGCAUGAACAAGAAUGAAGAAAAGUCACAUCUUUGUCUGAGGAUUACACCAAACAUUACCAACUAUCGUUUCUAUUGUGUCAUAUGUAGAUAUAAACAAAAGUGGUAUAAAAUGCCAAUCAAACCAAUAUAUCAGAAAAUUCAUCCUAUCACAAAUAUAUCAAUGUAACCCAAUGCACGUUAAAUUCAAAGCGAACUGCAAUAAUGUCUAUAAUAUACAGACGCAUUCAAAAAGAACGUUAAAAUGGACUAUAAUAUUCUAACAAAAGCCACUUUUGAAUUUAAACUUAUGAUGGCGUCAGUAAAAAAUUCUUCGUCACGACAUUUAGCUAUGUAGCUAUUUAUGUAUGCUAAAAAAUUUAGAAAUAUUAUGCUAAUCAGAUUAUAGCAAAUACAAUUGUAAUUAAGGUGCUAUUCACUACAGAAACAGUUAUGGAAAUAUUUUUUCUACAUUUUUGGAUCGUUUCAACGUAAAUCUAGUUCUACAAUUAGAUGAUUUUAAUUUCGAAGAAAUUGUUUAAUAUAGUUACUCUCGGCAAAGAUCUCAAUUAAAAUUACCAGUAUUGUACGAUGGAGCGUAACUAAUAACUAGCUACUUCAUAUCGUAGUUAGUGUUUCUGUCUUUUAAAUCCCGAAUGCAUUUACUAAGAGUCUUAGGAUUACGUAUCCUCGUAAACUUAAAUCAAAACGAACAGUUAUGUAAUCUCGAUUUCAAAAUUGUAGCAUAAAAACAUGUGUAAUAAUACGUAGGAUUCCUUACAAUUACUAUACAUUGAUAUAUAAUUUUCUUCAUUUUCUAACACGCACAUAAAAUUGUUUCUAAAGUCGUUUGUAGCACUCAUGGUUAAAAUAAUAAGUACUAAUUCUGUUUUCGGAAUUAGGUGCCAAACCAAGAUUAUUCUCACUAUUUAUCACCAAUAUUAUUCCUAGAUAAUAUUUUAAAGAUAUAAUUUCACUGAUAGAAUUACCUUCCCCAGUUGUAUCAAAAACUACUGGAGAAAAAUUAGCAUUAAAGUUUAUCUUAAAAUUAUGACUUGCUGGACAUUGAAUUGUUCUACAUCAGUUAGAAACUAAGUGGAAGUACGUGGCUUAUUGAUUAUGUGUUGAACACAUGAUCAUAAAAUUGUUUUCAAUUUCCGGACCGGGCGACGCGUUGUGUUUCUGAGAAAAACAUUUCAUUUCAUGUUGAUACAGUCGACUCAGCCAGCAAAUAUGAGUAACCCUGCGAUGGAACGGCGUCUCGUCCAAGUGAGGAAUUUAUACGCCAUGGAAACCGGGAAACCGGCCGUCAUGAAUCGAGAAGGUAACUUUUUUUUACAGUUGAGAUACAGUAAAAUCUUAAUAUUUUUGAUGUGCUGGUGAUUGAAUUGUAAAAUUUUACUUUAUGGCGAUUAUUUAAUUUCCCAUACUUGACGGUGAGAAAUAUUUAUCCAGUGCUGCAUAUAAUUUCCAACGAAUAAUAGUGUGUGUGUAGUUGUAUGCACGUAGGUGUGUAUAUAUAUAUAUAUAUAUAUGUAUGUAUGCAUCGCCUUUCAAAAUGAUUGGCUCUCCUUAGUACAGUUUCUAGUGAAGUUGCGAGUUGGAUGGAGCUGCUCCUCUUUGUGUAUAUUUGUAUGUAUGAAUGUAUGUAUGUAUAUGUGUUUAAUUGUGUGUAUUUGUUUGUAACUGUGUGUACAUAACGAAGUUACGUACACACACUGCUUCGUGCAUACAUACGUAUAGACAUAUAUGAUAUAUCCACAGCUUUUCCUCAUUUCCAGAAUUUCACUGUAUUAUUCAAUAAAACCCCAACGCCCUCCCUUUCAGAAAAAAAAAAGAAAAAAGAUCCACGAGACAAACGUUUCCAUUUAUCUCGUUAUAAUAUGACUACCAGUAUAUUAUCUAAAUUAACAUGACAAGAUAUUAGUCACUUCUAGCCUCUUGAUAUUAAUAUAAAUAUAAAAACAUGAUAUCACAAUGCUGUUUUAUUUUGUCGUGAUUAGAUUAGGGUUAACAAAACAUCAUAAGCAACUAUUUAAAGAGAUAUUAUUUUCUUGUUUUAUUACUGCUGGUGUCUAAUUCAAAUAAUACACAAUUGCCAUUCGCAUCACAUGUUUUUGAUAUAGAAAUUACAUUAUCGUAAUCAAAAUAAUUCGUUUACCAUGCUAAAUUACAAAAGAUAUUGGUCUUGACAUUAUCGUUAGAUAGACAUCCGAAAGUAGAGUAAUAUUUAAAAUUGACUAUAGUUCAGUUUAAUGAUUCCUUUAUUAAUUGCUUCAUAUAAAGUUGUGUUGGUGUAUAUUCGUUUUUGUCUAUUCCUUAACGAUCAUGAAAUACUAUGUGGCACGAAGCAUAUGAAGUACUUUUUUUUAUCUGAAUUAUCAGAAACAGGAGAGAGUAUGCGUACAUAGACGAACUUAAGCUGAUCAUUGUAUACUAAUGUGGUCAAUUUAGCUAUAUAUUUUCUCUCUUCUCCAUACCGUUCCCAUCAGACAUCAUUUUAUAGCGUAGCAUAUUUCAAACUUAAUACUAAAAUGUCUUUGUCAGCAAUACGGUGAAGUGCUGAUGACAGCAGUCAGGCCUUAUAGUUGCAAAUAAUGAUUUUUAAAAUGUGAACAAAAAAGCUCGGUAGCUAUAACAGUUUUCUUGUAAUUUUCUAUGCACUGAUAUAUCAGACAAGCUACGGCGACUUUUAUUCAACUAGAAUAAAAUAAGACAAUUGAUAUAAGGUUUCCUUUUCGAUGAAAGAACAGCUAUGAUGAUGAUGAUGAUGAUGAUGAGGAGGAGGAGGAGGAGGAUGAUGAUAAUAAUAAUAAUAAUAAUAAUAAUAAUAAUAAUAAUAAUAAUAAUAAUAAUAAUAAUGAUGAUGAUGAUAAAAUUAUAACAAUCUAAAUAAUAACCAUAAGAGCAUCACAGAAAACCAGAGCACAUACCCAAGGCACACAGAGCUACCUUGGUAUAUAAAAAUAAAACUACUGAAUAAUAAUAAUAUUCAUAAUGCACGGAAGAGUUGCAUGCUAUAGCUAAACUUAAAUGGAUAUACAUAUAUAGUGUAUACAUAUAAAGCCAGUCUUCACUUAACGCUGUUCGUAACUCAAGGAAUUGAGCAAAGCGAAGUGAAACUUAUUUUUACAAUGAGUUUAAUGUGGCUGCCGUUAUAUACUCCUAGCCAUAGUUGUAAAUGAAAACUAAAAAAAAUAAACGGCGUUAUAGACACUUCAAAAUGGUUAAUAGGAAUCAAUGGUUUGAUUGUUUAAUGAAAUACAUCUCCAAGAUUCGUGGCAGCGCAGAUUUUCUACUUUUUUGUAUAAUGCGUUGGAACUGCAUAUCAAUUUAUAUAAAAUUGUAGAAAACCUCAAAGUUUUAGUUAUUAUAUUUCAAGAUGGUUCUGCAUUCUCAACCCUUUAUCUGCAUCGCUAGAUCGGGGAUUUUCCACCUCGGGGAGGCCCUCGUUAAGUGUUUCUUUAUUAGAUGAUUCAAAUACAAACGCACCAACUUUAUUUCUUUUAUUAAAUCAAAAUUCGUCCAGUACACUAACACUCUUCCAAUAAAGACUAUAUUUUCUAUUCAAAACACGGGUCGGCUACAAUUCAACUUGGACAUAUUUUAGUUCAGACAAGAUACAAUUGUUCUGUAUUUUUCUUUCUCAUCUUCUGCUGUCAAAUUUUCAAUAGCACUCAAGAUAUGGUAACUAAGAUAGAAUUCCUUUAAAGUACGUUUAGGUUUACCAUAUCAGAACAUCAUUUUUUAAAAGUGCACCGCAAAAAGAUGGUUUUGUGUGUAGUAAUAAUUCAUUCCUGCAUAAUCUGAAUUAAAUCUCGCUGUGUUUGAAUACAGAAAAGCUAACUAAAUAUUAGCUGUAAAAUAAUAAGAUCUGAGGACAAACCUGGGGCAUUCUCCACAAGAUGCAAGACUUUAUAUUCAAGUUAUUUAGUUUGAUAUUAUUUUUUGAAGGCUGUGCUGAAAUGGAAGGUAAUAUUUCGAAAAGUGUUCCUAAAUUGAUUUAUUACGGCUCAACUUCGUGAGAGAAGCCAUUUUCUGCUUUUCUUAGUCAGAAACUUAAGCUUGUUUUCCAUCAUUUUCAAACAGGCCAGCUUUAUGUGUAUUAAUAAGCCCUGGCGUUUACCUUCCUUCGUAAAUAUUUUUCAGUGUAGACACCAAAACAACGUGGAUUUUUCAUCUUUAGUAGCUGUUUGCCCUGGUAUCUGUAUGUCAUGCAAUUUGCGACGGUGUUUCUACUUUCAGAAUAACAACCCUGUUUGCCUUUAGGCCUGAGAUUAAACUUCAAGUUUUCAUUUGUACCGAAAGUAGCAAUAAGAUAUGCUGAUGUAUUUCAUCUUAUAUAUAUAUAUUGAUUUCAAAGUUUGGUACAAGGCCAGAAAUUUCGGCGAUAUGCCGAUUAGAUCGACCCCAAAGUAGGAAAUGAAAAGUCGACCUGGACGAAAUUUGCGCUCAAAUGUAAAGUCUGCCGAAAUACCUAUGUGUGUAUGUAUAUUAAAAAGCAUUUCUGUAUUUUACAUUGAGCUGCAUCCAUUCCAAGUUUAUUUUGUAGUAGCGAAUGCUGUGUCAUUCUGUGUACACGGUUUAAUCUGUCUUAAAUUUACUGAGGAAAUUUUGGACAGUUGUUAGUUUUUGACCGAGAAAUCUUACAAUGUCGUUGUUUGAUGUCCAUUUAUCAAUCACCGCCGAAAGAGUGUCACAUAUAUAAUUUUGCUAGUUUAAUAACUUCCCUUACUUGGGAUUAUCCUUAUUCUUGGAUAUCAGAACAUCGCCACACGUCCAUUGCUUUCGACAUUUGUUGAUACAGGCAGGAUCCUCUCUUCAUUGAAUUUUCAUUUCAUUUUUCUUUUCAAUAGAAUGUAAAUAAAUAGAUAUUAAUAGCGAUUACUUCUUUUUUGUUUUUCCUUUAAAUUUUAGACCACCCUCAGUGUGUCAAAUUGCUCACACACACACAAUCAGACAGACACACUAGCACACAUACGCACACGUGUGUUUUUGUUCGUGUGAACGUGUGUAUUCGUGUGUGUGUGAACAUGCGAGUGUUUAUGUGAAUGUAUACAUGCGUAACUGUAUGUGCUAUUCCUGGUACACUGAAAUAUAUUCGACGCAUUCCACUUAAUGUUUUUACAAUGUUAUUUUAUCAUAAACGGAGCGUGUAGUCUGGAAAUCUAGAAUAUCAUUUUGAUUCCUUUGCAGUAAUUACUUAUCUUCAAUUUUCAAUAUCAAUCUGAGUUGAGAUUGUCGAUUUCUAUUUGACCUUUAUAUAUAUUCUGGGUGAAUUGGCGAUAAAGUAAGUAGAAACUAAAUACUACAGUGAAUUGAAUCGAUUACAUAUUUCUCUCUUUCGAUAUUGUCUUGUCUUAUUCAAACCACAUCAAUAGUUUUCUUCAAUAUAUUGCUGCAAAAUCUCAAUUCCAAAGAAAGGAUUGCAUUUUGUUUAUUUUGUAGUUGUUGUGAUCGUUUAGACUCGUAUAGCAUUCCUGGCCAAACAGACUUAUGAUCAUGGCGGUCGAAUCUUUUUAAUUAUAUUUUACCUUUGUCUCUUUUAAGAGAGAAUGACGUAUAAACAUAGAUACAUACAGAUAUACAUACCCCUACUCCACACAUAUCUUUAUAGAGAUUUUCACACUCAUUCAUAUCAAACAUGCACACACACACGCACACACGCCCCACCCAUAUACAUACGUGCAUCUGUUUGUGUGUGCGCGUGUGUGUAUUUGUGUGGAUGCGCCUAUGUGUGUAUGUGUGUGUUUGUGAUUGUGUGUACGUGUAGUUAUGAUUGCUUUGCUUCCUGAGAAGGUUUGCUGACAAUAAUAUUUACAUUAUAAGAGUAAUUUAGACCGUUUUGUUGGAUUCAGUAUUCGUUUAUUUGUAUAGUAUACUCUGUAAUAAGGUGUCAAUAAGCGCUGCAAGUUGACCAUUGACACUUCGUACUAGACUGUACUAGUAAGAAACAAAUGAUAAAUGAACAAGGUGUGUUCUUAGAAAAUAGAAGCAUUGGGAAUGAAAGAAAACUACGAAGAAAUAAAUUCAAAAGUGUAAGGGAGUAGCGCAGUAUUAUAUUAACUUUCCGCUACCUUUUCCAAGGUUGACGACAACGAAAUAAAAAUAAUAGUAAAACAGGUUCGGAGAAUAUAAUAGAAACGGGUUGACAUAGGCGUAGGAGUGUCUGUGUGGUAAGUAGCUUGCUUACGAACCACAUGGUUCCGGGUUCAGUCCCACUGCGUGGCACCUUGGGCAAGUGCCUUCUACUAUAGCUUCGGGCCGACCAGAGCCUUGUGAGUGGAUUUAGUAGACGGAAACUGAAAGAAUCCCGUCGUAUAUAUGUAUAUAUAUAUGUAUAUAUAUAUAUAUAUAUGUCUGUGUGUGUGUGUGUUUGUGUGUCUGUUUGUCCCCCACCCCAACAUAGCUUGACAACCGAUGCUGAUGUGUUUACGUCCCCGUAACCUAGCGGUGCGGCAAAAGAGGCCGAUAAAAUAAGUACUAGGCUUACAAAGAAUAAGUCAUGGGGUCGAUUUGCUCGACUAAAGGCGAUGUUCCAGCAUGGCCACAGUCAAAUGACUGAAACAAGUAAAAGAGUAAAAGUGUAAAAGAGUAUAGUGUCACGUGUCAUCAAUGCUAAGACAAUGAAUGAGCUGGAUAGAGAAGACUCUUCACUUUGUGUGAGCCUUAGCUAACCACAGAUUGCCAUUUACGAGCACAUUUUCUUUCGGGUAGCAAUGCCCGACCCAGAAUCUUCAAAUUAUCCUGUUUAAGUAGAGCACUUAAUUGUUUCCUCGAGAAAGACAUCAAUUUUUCUUAACACUACUAUACCUUCAUAAAUUGUUAACGUUAAAAUUCUCGAGGUUAUAUAUUGCCCCUACUGGUUGAUGGCUGUAUAGACCUGCCUAUAAUAAUAAUAAUAAUAAUAAUAAUAAUAAGAAGAAGAAGAAGAAGAAGAAGAAGAAGAAGAAGAAGAAGAAGAAGAAGAAGAAGAAGAAGAAGAAGAAGAAGAAGAAGAAGAAGAAGAAGAAGACAACGACAGAAAUUUAUACUCAAAAUGUAAAUACGGAUGAAAUGCCGCUGAGCUUUUUACUCUGCCUGCUCCCCGCCUUAAUAAUAAUAAUAAUAAUAAUAAUAAUAAUAAUAAUAAUAAUAAUAAUAAUAAUAAUAAUAAUAAUAAGAAGAAGAAGAAGAAGAAGAAGAAGAAGAAGAAGAAGAAGAAGAAGAAGAAGAAGAAGAAGAAGGAGUUGUGUUUCAUGUGGGUUUUGCGAACUUUAGUCUAAACCAGGAUUAUUUUCUCAAUAUGAAGAUAGAUGCAAAUGUCUAUUCUUUUCUUCAUCAUCAUAAGUAAAUUAAAAUUUAGUUGAUCCCUCGUUUUGCUUAUUUUUAAAAUAAGCAUUUUGCUUCCUCACGGUGCUUUGCUAUCUUACUAUUGAAGUUAGAAAAUUGUACAUUUGCAUUAUGUUGCUUUCCUAAUCUCUCUUUCUCUCUCGUUCCUAGUCUCUCUCUCUCACACACACAUACACACACACAAGCGCGCGCGCUGACACACGCAUGCACUAACUGCUUAUCGCUCUCUUCGUAGGAAUCUUUGUAAACUAGUAUCGUUGAUAAAUAUGUAGAUAGAAAGAGAAAGGUGGACGAAUAUGGUGACCUGAAAAUUGAGAACGCCAAGAUGUCAGUUGCUAUAGUCAAACAUUAAGUUUGUUCUUGUUGUCAUUAGAACAUUAGGUUCAAUACUAACCAACCUAAAGAAACAUAUAGACACUUUAGAAAUACCCUAAAAUCUUGUUAUAUUGCUAAAAUCGCCUGUACUGCUCAAAGUAUUGCCUGUCAGAGUUCCUUGUGACUUCACAAAUAGCACGGAUGUCUGGCAGACACAAUAUCCUUGUUACAUACGAUAAAAAAAAAGGUAUCCCUGUUCAUAAUUAAUUUGCCUUUGAUAUUAAUAAUAAAUACUAUUAAUAAUCAGAAUUAUUUAGUAGAGAAAUUCAAUAUUAUGAAAGAAACGAGUAUACUGUUUUAAUACGCUUAUAUACUGUUUUAUACCAGCUUAUAUAAAGAACAUGGCGGACUGAAAAAGAUCAGAAAAUUGUUUCUUAUACAAAAUUUAUGCACCUUAGAAAUAUAAUCCUAUCCAGCUGUAGAUUAUAUCCGUUCAACUCCGUCACUUUCAGAAAUGAGGCUCUUUCUGGCUACUUUAUAUUAUUGCAAACUUCCCUAAUGAUAAACUUCCGCAGCUUAUGGUAUAUAUAGUGUAUAUGUGUUUGGUUGCGUGCAUAUAUAUAUACUUUUUCUAUUCCUGAGCGUUAUACAAAUACAUCUGUUUGUUUUGUACACCACCUGUCUUCGUAUUUUCUUUUUUUCGUAAACUUUCCCUAUAUAUAUAUAUAGACAUAUAUAUAUAUAUAUAUAUAUAUAUAUAUAUAUAUAUAUAUAUAUAUAUAUAUAUAUAUAUAUAUAUAUAUAUAUAUAUAUAUAUAUAUAUAUACAUACAUACACACACACACACACACACACACAUAUAUAUAUAUAUAUAUAUAUAUACAUACACAUAUAUAUGUAUAUAUGUGUAUGUAUUUAUGUGUAUAUAUAUAUAUAUAUAUAUAUAUAUAUAUAUAUAUGUGUGUGUGUGUGUGUGUUUUUAAGUAUGUGUGUGAUAUGUAUGUGCAUGAUUUGAUAUAUGUAUAUAAAUGCAUAAAAGUAGGGUUAUCGUAUUUAAAAGAAACAGAUGUUGGAUCUUCUAAGAAUUCCUCGAUUGUCAGCCGAUGCAAAGCCGUAUAACAAUAACGUUAACCUUUAUUCCUUCCUUACAUUCUCCCUGCCACACUUCUGCUUAAUAUAUAUAUUGAUUUACGUGUUUAUUUAAUGCCGGUUAAUAAUGAUUAGGACUGUAAUGAAGACCUGUUUGGGGCUACAGCUUUAUGUUUGUUACUCAGAUCUUGUGUCUUUCUUGGUGUAUACUGAUAAAUAUAUGUAUGCGUGAAUGUAUGUAUUCAAAUAUGUAUUUGUCUGAAAUUUCCUACGUGAAUAAGCGUAUAUACCGGUAUGUGGAGGCGCAAUGGCCCAGUGGUUAGGGCAGCGGACUCACGGUCAUAGGAUCGCGGUUUCGAUUCCCAGACCGGGCGUUGUGAGUGUUUAUUGAGCGAAAACACCUAAAGCUCCACGAGGCUCCAGCAGGGGAUGGUGGUGAUCCCUGCUGUACUCUUUCACCACAACUUUCUCUCACUCUUACUUCCUGUUUCGGUUGUACCUGUAUUUCAAAGGGCCGGCCUUGUCACUCUCUGUGUCACGCUGAAUAUCCCCGAGAACUACGUUAAGGGUACACGUGUCUGUGGAGUGCCACUUACACGUUAAUUUCACGAGCAGGCUGUUCCGUUGAUUCGGAUCAACCGGAACCCUCGUCGUCGUAACCGACGGAGUGCUUCCAUCCAUCCAUCCAUACUGGUAUGUAUGCAUGUUGGUAGGUAGGUAGGUAGAUAGGUAGGUAGGUAUGUCUCUCUCUCUCUCUCCUUCUAUCUAUAUCUGCCCAUCUAAAUACUUACACACACACACACAAACACGCACACACACACAUAUAUAUACAUAUAUAAAAUACAAAAUGGGACAAGAACGCAAAAAAUCCAGAUGGACGAUACAAAGAAAACAAGGUCGGGUCAUUCGAAGUUUUCUAUCCUCAGUCAAGCACCAGAUUGUCCUCGCAAUUUCGGCUGAUUAUUCUUGAGAUUGCUCCAGUCUGGCCAGCCCCAAGGAAAAACUAAUCUAAAAGCAUUAGAUUCCUUGGAAGACAGCAACGAAUGUAUACAAAAACAAGGACAGAAAAAUUGGAGAAAGUUACACAAAUAUAAAUACAAUAAUAAAUACAAUAAAAUAAUAACAGGACAUAACAACAGGUGUCUUUCGACUAAGGACGAUACACACAAACACACACACACACAAACACACAUACACACAAACACACACACACACACACAUAUAUAUAUUUAUAUAUAUAUGCACAUAUCCAGAGUGCUAGGGGUAUUUGAGAACAGUUUUGGUAUACAAUAAAACAACUAUACUCCAGCAUAAAUAUAUAUUUAUUUGAAUAAACAUUUGUGCAAUUUGCCUUGAUAAUGGUUUUGAAAGCAAAUUAUUCUAUGAAACCACCUUCGGCUUCGAUGACUGAUUCAAUGGGGGACCGAAACUGCUGGCAUGCUGACACUACGGUUCUUAUUCAUUUCGGACAUCACCUGGACAAUAGGUGCCUUCAGCGAAGCUACGGUAUUAUGAGGAUGAUGAUUAGUCUCCCUUUCAACAGUGCUCCACACGUAGUCCAUACGGUUCAAAUCCGACGAGUUUGGAGACUACAUACUGGGUGCUACAUAAUCGUAAAAUUUGUCUGAUAACCCUUCUUGGGUGACUAUGGCCUUGUGAGAAGGUGCUGAGUUUUGUUGAAGCACGUAUGAUCUUCCAUGGCAUACUUCAUCAAGCCAGGGCCUGAUAAGAGUUUCCAGUACCUCAAUGUAUCCAGCAGCAUUAAUUAUAAGACCCUGUGGUGUGGAAAAAAGUGGGGAGGAAUCAGAUGACCUUCGCUAUUCACCACUCCUAAAACCAUCACAGUUGCUGGAAAUUUCGUGUGCAGCACUCUGGCUUUUUCAGAAGGAUCUGCACAUAACCACCUGUCAUUUCUUGUUACACUUUUGAUCCUAGUCAUUUUUUUUUUUUGAUCGGACAAAAGCCAAAGCAUGUCUUGUUCGUACGGAUUUUUCACUUCGUUAAAUAACCGUUUGGAACGGAUGAGACGGUUUUCCUGUAUCUUUGGCAUUCCCUUACUAUGUAGGACUUGUAUCGAAUGUGACGAUGUACUACAUUUCUGAUAGUCCACUCUGACAUACGAAUUUUUUUACAAAUUUUUUUAGCAGUUGACCUCAUUGUGCUUCUGGAGUUUUCAUCUAUAAUGUUUUGAACUUGAUAUAUAUAUUCCUGUGUCCUUUUAGUGUCCGAGAAUUGUGAAUGAUUUUCUCUUUCAUUUAGGUGAAACAUUUCCAACACAUGCCUCCAAUUCCAAGUAAGCUUUCUGUAGAAAUGAUCUUACAAUAUUUCGAAAGUUGCUAAUCUCUAAACUUCUGUGGUUUGCAUGUAUAGCAACUAUGACUGCACAUUUUUUCAUUUCUUGAGUUAAUAUGAUAUUUUUAAUGGAUUUUAUGGAAAAAAAAAUUAUACACUAAAUAAUUUGAAGGUAUAAUGAACUAGAAACGAAAUGUCCUCAGAUGUCCCUCACACUCCGUAUAUUCAUAAAAAGAGGCAGGUGUGGGUAUGUGGUAAGAAGCUUGCUUCCCAGCCACAUAGCUCCGGGUUUAGUACGACUGCGUGGUACCUUGAGCAAGUAUCUGCUACUAUAGCCCCGAGCCGACCAAAGCCUUGUGAGUGUAUAUGGCUGACGGAAACUUACAGAAGCCCGUCGUAUAUAUAUAUAUAUAUAUAUAUAUAUAUAUACGUGUGUGUGUCUCUGUGUGUGUUUAUAAGUUUGUGUUUGUGUUUGUUCCCCCCGCCAUAGCUUGGCAACCGAUGCUAGUGAAUUCAUGUUCUCGUAACUUAACGGGUCGGCAAUAGAGACCAAUAGAAUAAGUACUAGGCUAAAAAUGAAUGUUUUUAAUUCGAUUUCUUCAUUAAAACCCUUUAAUGUGGUGCUCCAGUAUGGCAGCAGUUAAACGCCUGAAAAGCUGUAAAAAUGAAUUUACAUACAUAUAUAUAUAUAUAUAUAUAUAUAUAUAUAUAUAUAUAUAUAUAUAUAUAUAUAUAUAUAUAUAUAUAUAUAUAUAUAUAUAUAUAUAUAUAUAUAUAUAUAUAUAUAUAUAUAUAUAUAUAUAUAUAUAAGACAGUGUAAAUUGAGGGAUUGCUCAGCGCUUAAAACAUCGAGCAAUGAACAUAAGUACCGAUCGUGAUACCCACUACGAAGAAAUGAUCAAGCUCAGUAACAAUUUAUUGAGCAACAACUACCACAAAAGCAUACACACACACAUACAUACAUAUAUAUGUACAUAUGUGUUUGUGUGCGUGUGUGUAUGUGUGUGUAUACAAACGUGUAGAAAUAUGAUAAAAUGCCUAAUGUGCUUUGUAUAAGUGCAUUUCUGGUUGUAUCUUAACAGCAAGAUAUACACACCCAUACAUACAUACAACUAUGUUUGUAUGUAUGUGUGUAUGUAUGUAUUCGCAGGUGUGUGGUUGCAUUUUUGCGUGGUGCCUUUGUGUUGUAGCUGCUUUGGUGUCAAUGGAUUUAAUAUUCAGAUCAGUUACCAGAAUAUUCUGGCAAUCGGAAGACUAAAGGAAGGGUUUCCAUUUACUUGACAUGUCUAUAACUCCAGAGUUCACCUGACAUACCAACAAUGUGAGUGAUAAACAUAUGCUAUCACAAUAUGCUGCUUAAUAAUGCGCUAGCAUUUUUUUUUCUUUACAAAAAUUUCCAUUGCCCUUAGACAUUUACUCGCUUUUGUAUAAAUAUAAAACAUUCAAUCUAAUGUUCAUGUGCUACGAUACAUCUGAAUCUCUUUCUUUCUCUCUCUCUCUCUCUCUCUCUCUCUCUCUCUCUCUCUCUCUCUCUCUCUCUCUAUCUAUCUAUCUAUCUAUCUAUAUAUCUAUCUCUCAAUCCGUAAGCAUAUCAGUAUAUAUAUAUAUAUAUAUAUAUAUAUAUAUAUAUAUAUAUAUAUAUAUAUUUAUUUAUAUACGUACACACACAUACAAACAGACACACACACACAUUUAUAUAGAUAUAUAUAUAUACGUAUGUAUGUAUGUAUGUAUGUAUGUAUGCAGGAAAAAAUUAUUUGUAUUUUAAAAAUUGUUGAACAGUUUCUUUUGAAAACAUUACAAUACAAACAAAUUGAUUAUAAGUUGUAAAUCUCAAAAAGAAUUUAAAAGAAUCUAAAAAGAUAGUACAGUAUGUUUCGGCACUAUCCCAUAAUUAAUUAGAAAUUGUAAGCAUAUUUUUAAAUGCUAUGAAAACAGUUAUACAUUCAGGGUUUUUAUGAGCUUGUAGGAUUUAGGCUAUCAUUUUUGAAGGACGCAUAGAGAGUUUAUAGUGCGUUAAAAAAGGGAAAGAAUUAAAAUGCUAUAUAUAGUAAGUGCAUCUAGGUGGCGAGUUAUAAAUAUUCAUGGAUUAUAAAAUAAAAUGAAAUAAAGUAAAAACGAAAUAAAAGAUGAAAUAAAUAAUAAAAUAAAAAUGAAUAGAUAGAUAAAUGGAAAUUAAGUAAUAUAUAUGUAUAUAUAUAUAUAUAUAUAUAUAUAUAUAAUGCAAAUAAAUUUUUCAUAAAUCCAAUUCUUUCCAUUUCCUUUCCUUCAAGAUCAAUAAUACAAUUACAAUAAUCCCUAAUAUAUACAAGUGACUUUCGCAUUAUAUGAUAUUGGUGAAUUAGUAGAAUAUCUUGGAUUGCAUAAUCCUUAAGGAUGUUAUAACUCCCUCGAACUGACUAUAUAUAUAAAUCAAAGGUAGAACGAAAAGAACAUGAUAUGUGGAAUGGAGCAACACAUAACAUGCAGAAAACGGGCGAUAACACAGACGAUAACAUAGGAAACGGCAAACAGGAGAGAAACAAGACACACAUAUUAUUCAUAGAAGAUUUCCUCAUUAGUUUGUUUCUAGAAAGUCAUAGUUGCUUCUCCCAGAGGCAGUUUUUGCCCCAAAAUUUGAUUUAUCGAUGUCGCGCACCGUACAACCUGUUGUUUAAUUUUAUAUAUAUAUAUGGGGAGACGAAGACAGCUAGUGUACAAAACAAACAGAUGUAUUACUAUAACGCUCAGGAACAGAAAAAGUCUUUUACCUUUCGAGCCUACGCUCUUCUACAGAAAGGGACACAGAAAACAAGGAGAGAAAAAAAUGUGUGUAGUGGCUAACGAUCUAUCAUGGCGUCUGAAUAUAUAUAUAUAUAUAUAUAUAUAUAUAUAUAUAUAUAUAUAUAUAUACAACACCAUCUGUGGCAAGCAGUUACAGGGCGUAUGCGUAAUUUACGUUCUAAAGUUAAACUUACUGUACUUACCUUGGAGAAAGAAAAAGUAAGAUGUAUAAAAAAAUUCAUAUCUGCGCAGCAUUUCCCUCGAUCAGAUUCCCACACACCACGUUUCUGAUUCUUAGGCCAGCCUCAAUGGGCAGCAUUGGCAGAUAUGGUGCUUUCAGAACUUUUAUCAUAAUUUUUUUUUUCACUGUAACUGCAGUAGAGUUGCCUCUAGAAGAUGCAAUAUGUCACAAACAUAUUUUCCCUAACCUAAACGUCACACAUAUACACACAGACACACACAUACACAAACACGCGUAUACAUAUAUAUAUAUAUGUACGUAUAUAUAUAUAUGUAUGUAUAUGUAUACGUGUAUGUAUAUGUAUAUGUAUAUAUAUAUAUAUAUAUAUAUAUAUAUAUAUAUAUAUACAUACAUACAUACAUACAUACAUACAUACAUACAUACAUACAUACAUACAUACAUACAUACAUAUGUAUAUAUAUAUAUAUAGAGAGAGAGAGGGGGAUAGGGAGAGACAGAGAGAAACAGAGAGAUCCAAUGCAGGUAGAAUCAACGAAAUAAGUACUGCAUCCAAUGAGAGAUAAAUAUCAUUUUAAAGCACAACCGAAAGAGUUAUUAAUAGUCUCAUACUGUAAUGAUGCUUUAACUAACCAGAUUUAUAAAAUACGGCUUGUAUCUCCAAGUAAUCUUUCAGGCGCUGUUUAAGCGUUACGUUUAGUUUUAAAGCAAGGACGCCGGAUAUUGAGAAAAUAAGAAAAAUAAACGAAAAGAGAAACGCAAAAAAAUGUUGAUGCAAAAAUAGAACGAGCAGAGGGAAACGGAAGCAAUAAAACUGAGGCCCCGUCCUCUCCGAUUGCAGAAACCACAAUUAAUGCCUUUCGUAUAGAACGAAAUAACAGAAAAAUUGUCGGUCUUCGACAAAACAACUCGGGCCGUAGCGGGUGGUGUCCUUCAAUUCUACAAAGGUAAUCUUUCUAUGAGUUUACACCUACUAAAUUUCGAGAACUAGAUUUAAGUAGAGUGUUGGAAUUUUGGAUCUAAGAAGAAUAUUGAAUCUUUCUGCUAGUAUAAGUUACACUUCCUUCCUAGAUCCAUUAGCAUAUGGUUUGGAUUUCCCCACUUGAUUGUAGGUGGCGUGGAGUUGGCUGUCAAUCUCCACACGUGACUAGUCAACUUAGCUGCAUUACUGUUUGUAUUAUCGCAAUGUGCCCGAGCUUAACUGAAUGGUUUAGAAUUCCGGAUCUCUGUCAGAUAGCUUCAUGUUUGCUCAUAAUUCGUAGUAUCAUGAACAUGUGCUUUCAACGAUAUUUUCGACGCUAAAAAGUGGUCGUUGAAAGCAGCGUGUGUAUAUCAUUGUAUGUAUGUAUGUAUGUAUGUAUGUAUGUAUGUAUGUAUGUAUGUAUGCAUGCAUGCAUGCAUGUAUGUAUACGUGUAUGUAUCUAUGAAUGUAUGCAUAUAAGCUCACGUAUGUGUAUAUAUAUAUAUAUAUAUAUAUAUAUAUAUAUAUAUACAAUAAGAGGCUUCCAAAUAGGAAAGCGUUGUGCUAGAAAGAGCAGUAGAAAACUCAAGACCACAAAUGUACAUAUGUUACGAUAAGAAUUUACGAUGAAUAAGACGAAUUGUAUUAUCAUCCUGGGCCGGAUUCCUCCUAAUUCAAUGAAGGAAAUUUAUAACAAUUUUAGGUUGAAUUUGGCCUUUUAAUAUUUAACACAUCUCGUCUGGUGCUUUGAUGUUGAAUAAAUUAUCAAGCCUUCAUUUUAUUUUGAUUUAUAUAUAUAUAUAUAUAUAUAUAUAUAUAUAUAUAUAUCAGUUCGGUGCAAAGAUAACGGCCCAUGAUUAAGCCUAUGAUCAAGAAAAUAUUCAUUCGUUAGCAUAAUUUCUAUUGCCUUCUAGAACUUCAUUCCAUCUUUCAAUAAGCUUAUAAACGCCGCGCUUGUAAAUAUGAAUCCAACAUAUCUUCAAUCUCUUCUCUUGAUGCUAACCUAAGACUAUUCAAAUGGUUCUGUAGUCCCCGAAAUAAGUGACAAUCAGAAGGAGAAAUGUCUGGAGAAUAUGAAAGAUGAAGCAAUAUUUCCCCGUCAAACUCUUCCAAGAGAUAUUUGUUCAUUCGAGCUAUGUGAGGACGAGUAUCAUCGGAGUGGAAAUGACUCUCUUUCUGUUAACUAAGCUGCGUCGCUUUCUGUUCAAAGCAGCUUUCAAACGAUGAAGUUGAUCACUGUAGAGAUUAUCAGUAUUUGUUUGAUUAAGGUCUAACAGUUCAUGAUGGACAAUCCUUUCAAUAUCCCACCGUACACUCAGCAUAAUCUUCCUUGGAUGAAGUCCACUUUUUCGUUGUUGAACAGGUCUCCCUCUUCGACUGAUCCACGAUUGGCGGCGUUUAACGUUAUGCUAACCUGUAACAAGUCUCCCUAAAAAUGGUUCCUUAAGGUGUCGCGAAGGCAAUGAGUGACAACAAACAACACGCUGCUGCAGACUCUCUGGAGAUAGUUCGUGCAGGACUCAUUUUCUAACCACUGAAACCUUUCCGAUCUUUUCCAGUUGGAGUAGAACAGUUUGUAUGGACUACGUUGUAUGCAGGUUCUCUACAGGUAGCGGUUGGAUCUUCUGUGACAACAGUUUCCAACUCGUCGGAAUCAAGUUGUUUUGAACGGCCUUCUUUCGGCUCGUCUUUCAAACAAAAACCCCCAAUCGAAAGUGAGAAAAACCAUCUCCUGCAACUUAUUUCACUCCCUACGUCAUCCCCAUAAACUCUCUGAAGAGACUAUGCUGCUGUGCUUGUAUUGACACCUUUAUGAAACUUACAGAGUAAGAUGUGUCUAAAGUUAUCUUUAAAUGGCACGUACAUGAGUGCGAAUAUAGCAGAAUAUUAUCGCCAAUAAAAUCAGAAUGUGAAAGGGAAAUGUGUAAGUUACUCAUUGUGACAUUUUUAAUACAUUGCAAGAGGCACAAUUUAAAAAGAAAUAAUAUCUAAAACUAACAAUAGUAAAUCUUAGAGCGAGUUAUAAACAGUAGCUGCAACACAUCGUGACGUAUAUUUGAUUGUCUAUGAUUGUCACACGCCGAUGACGGGUCAAUACGUAGAAACUCGAGUCCGUGUGUAUCAUAAGUUGAAUACGGGAAGGAUGGCUUCCUUUUGCAAAUACUGAUAGGGCACAGAAAGUGUGUCUAUAGCCAGCUGGAGGAGGUGUCCUCUUGGGGCUACAAACUACAGUAAGCAUCCACCCUUAGGGUUAGCCAUAUUUAAAUGGCAAAUAUACGUCACAAUAUCUAAAACUGUUUUCUAAAAUCUCGGCCAUUACCUUUGCACAAACCUGAUACAUGUGUGUGUGUGUAUGUAUGUAUGUAUGUAUGUAUUAUGUAUGUAUGUAUGUAUGUAUGUAUGUAUGUAUGUAUGUAUGUAUGUAUGUGUGCAUGUAUAUGUUCGUGAAUAUUUGCUUAUACCAGCUGCUUGUGUAAUCCAAAACUUACGACUGGCACUCGUAAAUCAUGAUACCGAUCUGCACUUUAAUUUCAUAUCGUAAGGUUUUACUAAAAAUGUAACAGUUCUCUGGUCGAUAAACAACAAAAGAACAAGAAUUAUCAAUCACAACCAAGGAAUAAGAAAUUAGUAACUAUUUGCCAAUCAUAUCUUGACUGACAACUUAUUCGCCCGAUUUCUUAAUAUUUUUCUUAUAGCUUUAUUUUGACAUUCCGAUUUAAGAUAGCCAAGUAUUUCUUCUGCUACUAUUCCCCCGUGUCUCUCAUUUCUGUGGCGCUAAUUAGGGAAAGUUAUUCGGCGCAGAAAUUCCCGACCAUCAGAUGUCAGUUCCAGUAACGAGUUAUUACAGGCCUUUAGCAGGUGCAGUAACAUAUAUUUCGUCCCUUUCACUUCAAAUGUACAUAUGUUACGAUAAGAAUUUACGAUGAACAAGACGAAUUGUAUUAUCAUCCUGGGUCGGAUUCCUCCUAAUUCAAUGAAGGAAAUUUAUAACAAUUUUAGGUUGAAUUUGGCCUUUGAAUAUUUAACACAUCUCGUCUGGUGCUUUGAUGUUGAAUAAAUUAUCAAGACUUCAUUUUAUUUUGAUUUAUAUACUAUGCCUGGACUUGAUCAUAAUAUGCACGCCUCCCCAACUCCAUACAAACACACAGAUGCGCGCAAACGCACAUUCAUUUAUGUAUUUAUGUAUGCAUGCAUCUAUGCAUUUAUGUAUGUAUGCAUGCGUGCAAGUAUCAUGGCUUCUCUAUUUUUCGUAAUACGUCAUUUCAGAGAAGUAGGAGUGUAAAUAUUUUUAAAAUCCCGUUUCCUGGAAUUUUCAAAUAUCACACCCGAAUUAUAUUCUCCUGUUACUAAAUGGAAAAUUAUAUUUGUGUUUGUUCCUGUUUUCUUGAGAAUGAUGUCUUCCGGGAAAUUGAGAAUCUUCAAAAUAUACAUAUAUUGUACGUGUGCAAUCCUCCUGCUCAUAGCUCUCCUAUUUACUAGAAAUCAAAAGGGAAAUUUUCUAAAUCACAUAAGCACGCUCUAUGACAUAGAUAUAUAUAAUCUCACACACUGGCACGCAUGUACAGACAUGCGUAAACUAACAUUGGUGCUGGAAGCAUAUACACUUGUAUAUGUGAGUCAGGACGUGUGCGCCAAUUUAUUUCUAUGGAGUGGAUAGUAACAUUAUUGUUUUUGUUUGGCAAGGGAGAAGAUCUGAAAUGAAAAAGUAUUUGGUAAGAGAAAAGAAAAUGAUUAUCGAAACUGAGUCAUAAGACAUAACAAAUAUAAUUUCUAUAUAGAUUUAAGCAGAUAACUAUGUUCAAGUUAUUCAAUGAGCUGGUCACUGGCGCUCUUUUUCCGUGCAGAGGAUAUUCUAUCAUGCUUUCACCACAAUCUACUUUAUGAAUAUCUGAAAUCCGUUUGACAGAAUUAUAUAUCUAUAAAAUGCUGUGGUAACUGGUAAGAAAUGAGAUUUGCAGGAGUAUGCGUUUCAUAAAAGAAGCAAAUUGGGUAAAAAUAAAAAGCAAAAUUUUCUAGCAAAUAUUUAUUUGUAAUAAUAUUUGGUAGCUAAUAAUGUUUGGCUACGAAUUUCCUCAUAUCUCAGUAUUUCAGUGAAGAGUGUUUUCUUAUAUAUAUUCUGUAUAUAUUUACGUGAGAUACAGACAUAUACACACACACAUAUAUACAUGCGUGUAUACAUAACUAAAUAGAUAGAUAGAUAGAUAGAUAGAUAGAUAGAUAGAUAGAUAGAUAGAUAGAUAGAUAGAUAGAUAGAUAGAUAGAUAGAUAGAGCGAGAGAGGUCGAACAUCAACAACUGUAAUAUAUAUAUAUAUAUAUAUAUAUAUAUAUAUAUAUAUAUAACACACUCACACACACACACAGAUAUAUAUAUAUAUAUAUAUAUAUAUAUAUAUAUAUAUAUAUAUAUAUAUAUAUAUAUACACGUACAUAAAUACAUACAUAUAAAACACAACCGUUGAAAUACUGUUGGGUCCUAAUACAAGGAAAAGAUAUGUUUUGUUGUGGCGAUAAUCUACCCGCUGAACUUCAAUGGGGUUAGAAAAAUACAAGAGAAAGGGGACAUCUAUGGACUAUUGACAAGGUGAUUGCAAAUCCAGUACCCUAGAUACACGUCCAAUUUCAUACCAAUUAUAAUAAUUAUUAUUAAAGAAACAGGAUACUUAUCAACCCGUCUGGAGCAAAGUAUGGCUGACCUUGCGUUCUUGGGGAGAGAACGCAAAUCCUUAAUACAUUUACUACAAAUGAUCAUAUCUGGGACUAUCAAAUUCAGAACGACCGUCUUAAACUUUCAAGGAUGAUAUACAAAAGAUGUUUUCUUUUACAACCAAGCUACCAAGAGGCUAGGCGGUCAAAAUUUAAGCAAAAUUUAUAAGAUAAUGAGUACAUACAUAAUACAUAAAUACAUGCAAACAUACAUGCAUACAAUACAUAUAUACAGACACUCAGAGACAAGCAUUUACAGACAGGCACACAUAUGCACUGAUAUAUAUAUAUAUUAAAAUGUGUGUGUGUUAUACAUAUUAUCAGGCAUUUGAGACUCAGCUCCAACCCGUUCUGUUUUAGAGUUAACUAUAGCCGAUUAUUGUGAUAUAAAUAUAUAUAGGCACACAAAGAAAGAGUAUUUUGUGUGUGUGUGUACGCGCGUGUGUGUGCGCGCGUGUGUGUGCGCGCGUGCGUGUGUGUGCUUAGGUGUGCACGUGUGUGUGUGUGUGUCUGUCUGUGUAAUUGGUAUUCAGAAGACACACGAUAUUUAAAAUUGAUUUUUUAAUAGAUAUCAUGCGAUAAAUUUAUUCUGUAAUGAUCUGACAACUUAAUAGACAUUACAUCUGAAAGAUACAGUUCUUUCAUAUAUCAGGUAAUUGCAUUUUCGUCGGACAUAUGCGAUAAAAUUUUAACAUUACCAAAUAGAGACCAUUGCAACUGAGAGAUUUUUAACUUGAAUCAUGAAAUUUGAUAAAGACUAUCUGGUAUAUUUUAAAUAGAAACUCUUAUGUAUUUCCAGACUGUUGCGUUUAAUUAUGCCUUUAAGUGAACCUAUGGAAUCAAUAAAGUGACUAUAAUGUUUAGUUCGUAUACUCUUUACUUGUUUCAGUCAUUUGACUUCGGCCAUGCUGGAGCACCGCCUUUAAUCGAGCAACUCGACCCCGGGACUUAUUCUUUUUGUAAGCCCAGUACUUAUUCUAUCGUUCUCUUUUGCCGAACCGCUAAGUAACGGGGACCUAAACACACCAGCAUCGGUUGUCAAGCAAUGCUAGGGGGACAAACACAGACAUACAAACACAUACACACACAUAUAUAUACAUAUAUACGACAGGCUUCUUUCAGUUUUCGUCUACCAAAUCCACUCACAAGGCAUUGGUCGGCCCGGGGCUAUAGCAGAAGACACUUGCCCAAGAUGUCACGCAGUGGGACUGGACCCGGAACCAUGUGGUUGGUUAGCAAGCUACUUACCACACAGCCACUCCUGCGCCUAUAUUUGUUUUACUGAUCGGUUUGUUCAACCAGUGUGGCUGAGCUGCCGAAUGUCAUGAAGAUCCGGCAGAUAAAACGAUAGUAAACUGUAUUUUCACAUUAUCUUCGGCUAAGAUUACCACUGUCAAAUGCUUCCUGGAAUUCAACAUGUUGUACGCCGACUAAAUAAUAGACCUAUUGUAAAGAUAUGAACAUGAAACCUACUUAAAAUUUUGUGCGUUCCUAUAUUUCCUUUUAUGCAAACAUUAUUCUGCAUCACCAGAGUUACCAUUAUCACCAGAAUGAACAGGUUUCCACAUUUGUGCAAAUCGUUCAUCUCAACUAUGUUAAGUUCUUUCACUCUGUGAGAACUUCAUCUGUUCUCCAAAUUUUACUGAACGUUCCUCUGAACUCAAGUACUUGUAUGAUUCUGUCUGCAUUACGGACACACACACACACACACACACACACACACACACACACACACAAACGCACACGCACAUAGAGAUGUGUGUAUAUGCAUACAUUAGCUCACUGGCUAAUCGCGACACCAGCGCCUGUUCUGGCAGUUUUAUAUAUAUCUCACUGACUGGGGGAUGAGAUACUGCUAUCUCUUGUGGUCAAACGUCUAUCAUUGACGAAACGAAGGAAGUCGAAAUCACCUGAUCUGGUGACCUCCUCGGUGCUGAAGAUGGCGGAUAUUUAUCUCCCCACCAGCGACAUAAGCCAGACGAAAUGUUAAAUAGGCCCUGUGUCUCGAAGGUAAGCUCUGGGGAGCAGCCAAUAACCAAAGAAAGCUGUAAAUCAAUCAUUAGGUGGUGCUCUAGCAUGGCCGUAGCCAAAUGACUGAAAGAUGUAAAUGUUUACAUACAUGCAUACAAACAUGCAUACAUACGCACAUUCAUACCUACAAAUAUACAUACAUACGUACAUACAUACAUAUCAGGAAAAGCUUCGUAUUUUCAGAUUUUUGCUGGAGUUCUAUUGUAACCGACGUGGAGGCGCAAUGGCCCAGUGGUUAGGGCAGCGGACUUGCGAUCGAGGGAUCGUGGUUUCGAUUCCCAGACCGGGCGUUGUGAGUAUUUAUUGAGCGAAAACGUCUAAAGCUCCACGAGGCUCCGGCAGGGAUGGUGGUGAUCCCUGCUGUACUCUUUCACCACAACUUUCUCUCACUCUUACUUCCUGUUUCUGUUGUACAUGUAUUUCAAAGGGCUGGCCUUGUCACUCUCUGUGUCACGCUGAAUAUCCCCGAGAACUACGUUAAGGGUACACGUGUCUGUGGAGUGCUCAGCCACUUACACGUUAAUUUCACGAGCAGGCUGUUCCGUUGAUUCGGAUCAACCGGAACCCUCAUCGUCGUAACCGACGGAGUGCUUCCAUCCAUCCAUUGUAACCGACGCUUGUUAGUAUGGUAUAUAAUGAAAAAAGAAACUAAAAUGAUUUAUAGCCUCUAGGGUCACAGCUAUAAUGAUCUUGCCCCCAAUUCAUUGACCAUCUUUUUACGACAAGGAAAAUAUAUUCUCCAUUUUGUGGAAUAAAUCGACUUAGUAAUGCUUGAAUGCAUUUCUUCCGUCUAUUCCUUAUUUCAAAUCUUGAGUCAGCAGUUUCCCUGCGUUAGAUCUAAGUGAGAGAUAUUUGUUUUUCCUUGAUGAUGAUGCCUGUAACGGCUUUGAUUCUGUGAUAAUAAUCUCCGCUUCCCUAUUCAUUUCAUGUCGAUUUCUGUCAUACAUGCAAUAUCAUUCAAGUAUCUUAUCACAUAUAUUGAGAAUUCUGCGCCUUUUAAGGUUUACAUAUUAAUAUGAGAAGGCGUCAAAAUUAUCAAGAAAUUUAUUGCAAUCUUCAUUGCUAGUAAAAAGUACAAAAAAUGUUGGUGACGAAUGAGAGGAAGAAAUGGAGAGAGAGAGAAAGAAAGAGAGAGAGAGGGAGAAACAGACAGGAAAAGGUUAUGGGAUGAUGAAAUUAUAUACGUAUGUUUGUGUGUACGUACGUAUGUAUGUAUGUUUGUAUGCAUGUAUGUAUGCAUGUGUUAUGUAUUCCUUUAGACGCUUCAUUCAUUUGACUACGGCCAUGCUGGAGCAACAUCUUAAAGUUGUUAGUCGAAGUAAUUAUUCUAUUAUGUCCCCGCUAAUUUACGGGGACAUAAACACACCAGCAUCAAUUGUCAAGUGAAGGCGACGGGGACGAACACAGAUACACACACAAAGACAUAUACAUAUUUUUUUCUUUUACUUCUUUCAGUCAUUUGACUGCGGCCAUGCUGGAGCACCGCCUUUUAGUCGAACAAAUCGACCCCGGGACUUAUUCUUUGUAAGCCCAGUACUUAUUCUUUCGGUCUCUUUUGCCGAACCGCUAAGUGACGGGGACAUAAACACACCAGCAUCGGUUGUCAAGCAAUGCUAGGGGGACAAACACAGACAUACACACGCACACACAUAUAUACACAUAUAUAUACAUAUAUACGUCAGGCUUCUUUCAGUUUCCGUCUACCAAAUCCACUCACAAGGCAUCGGUCGGCCCGGGGCUAUAGCAGAAGACACUUGCCCAAGAUGCCACGCAGUGGGACUGAUCCCGGAACUACGUGGUUGGGAAGCAACCCUGUCAUCACACUGCCAUUCCUGCGCCUUUUAUGUAUAUACACAUAACUACACUCAACACUACAUAAUCUUGUUUUUAUAUUUUAUAUUUCAUCUUUCACAUUAUUUUUAUUAAUAUCGAAUGAGUCAUCCGACACGGACUAAAUACUGUCUCCUGUAACAAAAUAUUUCUUCUUCUGUUAGGACUUUUCUGAUCUUUACUUCAUUUUUUUGCACUGACGAGAAUGGUAAUAUAUAAUUAAAUUAAUUACAAUUAAUUUAAAUCUCUUCCAUAUUUCCACGUGUUGGUGUUACCAUUUGAAACGAUCGUAUGCAUGGAUUAAAAUGUUAUCAAACUUUUAACAUCUCUUAUCGAUCUUUUAUUGUUUGUUGACUUUAUAGAGAACUGUGUUCUAUAAAUGCUCAUAAUACACCUUAUACUUGUAAAAUUUUCAUGUUACUAAUGAAAUACUUGCAACAGCAAGCAACAAAUUUAUUAUGAAGAAUCUUUAUUAGAAAUCUAACUUUACCCCCACCACCGAAGUAAAACUGCUCUAAUUGAACUGAACCUUUCUGACAUAUAUAUAUAUAGAGAGAGAGAGGAGGGAGAGAUGUACUUGCAUAGUGAGUGACUUGAUCUGAGAUCGUGUGCUGGAACGAAAACCAUUGCAGCGUGGAAAGUGUUUAUAAGCCAUUUAAGAAACACACAAAACCAUUAGAUUCACUUCAACAUUUAAAUUUAAUUUAUCAAAAUAUUUUCAUCGCUUUGAGACUGCGACCUGUUCACUGACAAAGCUUCAUGCUGCUUCUCAUAUAUAUAUAUAUAAGAGUAUGGUAAUUCCGGACUCCGACUGUAGAGGUAUUUGGUUGCGAAUACGCUAGUAGUAGAUGUCAAAUGUCUACAAAUCUUAAGUAACACCCACAACCACACCUCAUCACACGAUUAAAAAGAAUAGGUAUGUUAAGAGAAAGGGAAAAUGAAAAAAGCCGUAAAUAAUACACAGAAAUACACACAACGGCCAUAUAGGCAAUUACAUGUAAUACUUAUGAGAACGAGAGAUAGAUACAUAAAAAAUAAAUAAGUAGAUAAAUAAAUAGAUAAAUAAACGAAUUAUAUAUAUGUAGGUAAGAAUGAUAGUAUAUAUAUAUAUAUAUAUAUAUAUAUAUACUAUCAUUCUUACCUACAUAUAUAUACAAGCAGAAAAUAUAAAGAAGCUGCUUCGCCCUAUUUCAGCUGGAUAUCCCCAAAUCUAGAAAACCUAUUCUUAAUUAAAAGGAACAAUUGAAUCUAAUUACUGGUAUCUAAGAGAAAAGAUUAAAAAACAUGUUGUAACAAGUACUACGUGACGUUGUAAAAAUGAAAAAUAAAGUGUGUCGGAGGUAAACAAAAUCAUCAAUGAAACAUGCACCGCGCACGCGCAGACUCAUUUAUACAUCUAUAUAUACAUUAUACGUUUAUAUAUACAUUAUACGUAUGCGUGUUGAUAAUUAGAAAUCAUCUCCGUCAACAUGUGCUAUAAUGAUCUCUUUAUUUUGUCUUUUUUUGUUUGACGCUAUUUCUUUCUCUUUUGUUUUUACCUCUUAUGUGAAUACUAAUCGCAUAAUUGUAUCUGUAUCUUUCACCAUUCAUUAUUAUCAACACCAACGACACCACAGGAGCUUCUACAACCACUGUCUGUAAUAUAUAUCUCCUAACUGUUUCUUUCUUAGUCUAUUUCUCUUAUCUUCCUUAGUGUGAAAAAAAAUGUUGGUAGGUAGCUAGAAACUUACAAUUCUAUUAACAUUUAGAUCUUAAAUAAGUAACAGACUCUAGUAUUUUAGCCUAUAACAUGAGUACAUACACGGGCAUUUAAUCGUGAAUACAUAAGUAUAUUUUCAUAAACAUAUAAGUGCAGGAGUGGCUGUGUGGUAAGUAGCUUGCUUACCAACCACAUGGUUCCGGGUGCAGUCCCACUGCGUGGCACCUUGGACAAGUGUCUUCUACUAUAGCCUCGGGCUGAGCAAAGCCUUGUGAGUGGAGUUGGUAGACGGAAACUGAAAGAAGCCUGUCGUAUAUAUGUAUAUAUAUAUAUAUAUGUGUGUGUGUUUGAAUGUGUGUCUCUCUGUCCCCCCACCAUCGUUUGACAACCGAUGCUGGUGUGUAUACGUCCCCGUAACUUAGCGGUUCGGCAAAAGAGACCGAUAAAAUAAGUACUAGGCUUACAAAGAAUAAGUCCUGGAGUUGAUUUGAUCGACUAAAGGCGGUGCUCCAGCAUGGCUUCAGUCAAAUGACUGAAACAAGUAAAAGAGUAAAAGAUAUGCUGGAACAUACAGAUUCACGAUUGAAUAUACUUAGAUGCUGGAAUACACAGAAUAUGGUGCAAAACUGAAUUUUCUGAAGCAUCUAAAAUUGCAUCAAAUUUGACACAAGAAUAAUUCACUACACGAGCGCACGCACUCAUACAUCAUAUAUAUGACAAAGAUUUGAAUAUCCCAAAAUCUAAUGAAAUUACUCUCUUUUAUCUUUCCUUCUAUUUAAAAAUGAUUCUGUUGCUAUAGAUACUGAAUUAAUCAUUUAUAUUAAACAAGACAUAAUGAGUGCAUAAUUGUCUUUCGUAAAUGUAAUCACUUAUCAGAUACAAUCUGUCAAAAUCUUCAAAAUGCUAUCGACAUAAUUCCUAGAUAAUGAUAUUCUCGUUUUAAUUAUGAAAAUAAAUAUCAGCUCAGAUAAUAAUCGUCUUCAUUAAAUAAUGCAGGUGUAUUGUCUAAUAGAGAUAAACCCAUUUCCAAUAUAUAGUCUGGCCUACGCUGUUAUUUCUCUAGUAAUAUUACUAAUAAUCAUUGCAAUAGUAGUAGUGAUUUUCUUUAUAGGUCAAAUGGGCAAAAGAAGGUAGCUUCAGUGCAAAAGCUAGAAGCAAGAUAUAGUAGGGGUUAUAAACUGUUGAGAUCAAUAGUAACUCUACAUACGCUUUAAUAAAUAUAUGAAGAUAUAUAUUAAGCAACAACGAAGUACGAGAACAGCACCUAGAAAUGAGGAGAAGCAAUCACAUACUGUAAUUCUUGGUAUACUACACUGAAUGUCUAAUUUCUAAAACUCCCCAAAGGGAAAUUCCUUUACGCAAUGGCAAUUAUAAUUAGACAAUUUAACCAUGACAGUUUUACCACAUUUUUACAGGCUUUUACAAAAUAUAGAGGAAGCCAAAACCUCCCUCUCGUCUUCAUCCUUUCCAACAGAUAGACGAAAAGCUUGUCCUUAGAAAAAAAUAAACAAAGAACACAGCUCACAAUGAUUUCCACUUCCAAGCAGUAUAGCAGAAGUAUACACGUCAUUAACCAUAGUCCCUGGAAUUUUCUGGAGUAGUUUUUAAUGUACUUACCUGUUAAGACGUUGAAUUGUGCAAUGUGAAAUGGUUACUAUAAACGUUUCAUUUAGUUUGACCACUAAGACAAAUCACUGUCAAUUAUAAAAAUCCAAUGACAGAAUAUAUGUUUAGGAGCACCACCAAGUGACGAUGGCCAUUUCGUUGAACAUUUUAGACAAAACAAAGCUGAUCAAAAACCACCGAAACUGAGGACAACACCAACACACUAUACAAUGUAUCCCAUGAAAUGGAAGCUAACUGAAACAGUUCUGCUCAAGGCUUGUAUAAGUGCAGGCAUCUACAACAAUAUUUCAGAUGUGAAGCGGUAAUAUUUCCAAACAUUUAGGCCUGAAUUGAACACAAUUAUCAACUUAAGUUCAUUUGUUGUGUCCCCAUUUUAGGGUUCUCCUCAGUAGCAUCAGCAUUCCUAUGCUUACAUAACUAUAAGUCAUCCUAGGUAUUGCCCCAUGGCAUUAAAAACAUCCAGGAUAUUUUUCGAUGUGCACAAGCGUGACAAAAAGUAAUUCAAUCGGCAUUGACACCCAGAAAGCAAGACAAGUUAACCUCAGCUUGUGUCAUAAAGAUUUAGAAGCAGGGAGUUUAAAAAUUAUCAAACAUGAAAGAAUGAAUUUUCAAAACUUUCGUUCAGUUGUAGAAAAUCCUUAAGUGCUAGAAAUGCGGACGAUAUUGUUAAUCAAGCGUUGGACUCCACCGUCAUUUCCGAAAGUGCUUCCUCACUUUCUCAUUCACCACCCUGUUCUCUGUAGUCUGCAGGACUGACAGAUGUUAGCUGCUGGUACGUGCGGGUGUCAGUGAGUGUUGUUUAUACAUAUCUGUGUCUGCUUGCCCGCGCGCGCGAGUGUAUGUGUGUAAGAGUGUGAAAGUGAAGGAGAGUGAGGUGUUGGGUGAAUCUAAUAAUGGAAUUUCUUUACCAAGUUAUCCAUAAACAUUAAUUUACGCUCGGUCAGUGAUUUACGUUAAAAUUCGGUUUUUCAACAGAGCAACGAGACAGAAGAAUAAAAUAGCUGGAGUUCGUUAAAUAUUGCCUUAUAUUAACGUAUUAUGCUAUCUAUCUAUUUAUCUACGCACAUAUAUAUAUAUAUAUAUGUGUGUGUGUGUGUGUGCAUAAGUAUAUAUGCAACUACAUAUCUCUCUCUCUCUCUCUCUCUCUCUCUUUAUAUAUAUAUAUAUAUUUUAAUUUAGAGAUAGUAGGCCCCUACAUCUCACCAUAUAAAAAUAAUUUUUUAUUUUUAUUUUACAUACCUACUGUUUUAUUACUUGGCAACACGUGUUUCAUGAGGUACAUCCUCGGGUUCCUAAACCGCUCCGUGUUUUCCUGGAACCCUUCUUAAAUAUAUAACCCCAAACAUCAGACCAUUAUAUCACUUUAUCAACGUUCAAUACAAUAAACUAUAUUUUAAUUUUUUAAAACCCUUAAGUAUGUGCAAAAUAGGUAUGUUUAAAUUAGGUAUGUUUAAAUUAGAUCUGAGCUGAAACAAGAAAUAUAUAUAUAUAUGCAAAUAUAUGUAUAUAUAUGCAUACAUAUACGUACAUUUAUAAAUAUAUAUAUAUAUAUAUAUGCUUACAUAUAUAUUUAUGUUUCUUUAUGUGCGUCUAUAUGUGUAUGUGUGUGCGCACAAAAAGCCUGUUAUGUAGCUUUGAAUGAGACUAUAGAGAGGUGGAGUCGUAUGUUUCUAUAGUACUAUAAUAGUAAACGUCUGUUACAUUGUGGGGUAAUUAUGUUUUUAAAAAAUAUGAAAAUCCUAUAGGGAAUCUGUUAUACUUAACUAAUAUAUGUUGCAUUCCCUGCUGCUCCAUAGCUGUUGCGAACGUAUUGGUUUGUCUUUACUUCAGGGCGUAGUCUUGGGUGGGGCAGUGAUAACUUUACUUCCGUCUUGACACUUGCUUUGGGAAACAACCAAGGCAAAGCAACACCAUCAACUCUCAGCGAAAAAGGCCAAGUAUUUUACAUGCAGUUUGUUCCCCUGGACAUUCCCUUCACAUGGCUUGUGGUCCUUACUGUAACAUACUCCUCACCUUGUCGUACCUUAAUCCAGCACAAAAAAAUUCAGUGCUGCAAUGGGUAUACAAGCCUGUACACAAUAUACAUAUAUAUAUGCCCACAAUAUACACAUACAUAUACACAUUCAGGUGUUCGGGGGCUAAAUUUGACAGCUUGUCUUCUGCUAUAGCCUCGGGCCAACCAAAGCCUUGUGAGCUGAUUUGGUACACGGAAACUGAAAAAAGCCCGUCGUAUAUAUAUAUAUAUAUAUAUGUGUGUGUGUGUGUGUGUAUGUUUGUGUGUCUGUGUCUGUCCCCCCAACAUCGCUUGACAACCGAUGCUGGUGUGUUUAUGUCCCCUAACUUAACGGUUCGGCAAAAGGGACCGGUAGAAUAAGUACUAGGCUUACAAAGAAUGAGUCCUGGGGUCGAAUUGCUCGACUGGGGCGGUGAUCCAGCAUGACCACAGUCAAAUAACUGAAAGAAGUGAAAGAGUAUAGAGUAAAGAGAUACAAAUGAAAAUUUAUUCUAUCCUCAUACACUGGGUGUGUUUUCUUCUUCAAUAUUCAAGCAAAAAGAAGCACAAUAAGUACAGUGAAACAAAUAUGUCUACACUGGUCACGCUCUUCAAAAUAGCACCUACCACACAAACAUCACCUACACGUCAUGCAGUGAGAGCAGCAGGCGAAAUAACAACGAAGCCCACAUUACCGUUACCGCUACUACCAGCAGGCUGUAAGCAAAUUGACGGAGACAACAGUUAUUAUUACCGACAUCAUUACUGCCUGACCCUCCACCAUCAAAAGCAUAUCUUUAUUACUCACAUACUGUCACUUAAAGAACAUAUGCUCGUCAGGAAAGCUGGAAUAGUUGCCAUCCCUACGUAAGUGUAUGCAAAAACAAUGUUGGAAAGAUGUGGGAGAUUCCAUAUGUUAUAUUAGAAAUGGAAGUCAACAUAGAAUAGUGGUGGUCUUAUGCCUCAAUGAAGAGGAAAUGAAAAUAUAGAGAAUGCAUAUUUCUCCUUUGAGCAUCUAUUAUUACUAUCCUAAAUAGGAUAGGGAGCAACAAAAGAAACUCUAAAUGAAAAUCUACUAUGCCUGAUGUUAAUUAUUUUAAAUGAGUGUAGUUAGUGGGCAAUAAGGCGUUCAAGACAUUAGCGAUUUAUUGAGCUCCUUACAUUUGAACUGCUCUUGCAACACACAAUUAAAACCAUCGAUCCAAAUCACCGACGUCGUUUAAUCUAUCAGAAGUUCAAGUGGAUGCCAAAUAUCAAAGUGGUAUAUAUACUGUGACAUCAGUCAGCAGAAUGCUUUGUACCUUUGGCAAGGGAGGUGAAAAGCUGUUUAGUGAUCAAUACAAACCCCUUCAAAAUCAGCAACACCAGUAGCAAGAAUAGCAGAAUCAAACGCAGCAAUAGGAACCGAAUCAUCAAGGAUAACAGAAACCAAACACACAAAUAUGAUAGCAAGCAAUUUGAAAAAUAGAAACUCUUAAUAGUGUGUCCUCACUAAAUUACGAUAACAACUCUAACACAACCAAUAUACAUUGACCGAACAGUUCCUUUCCCCUCGACAUCCAGGGGAUGGUGAAUUGUAGUAAACCCUUACUAUGUGAGGCAAGGGGGAAAAUACCCAAUGGUGAUCGUCCCAUUGCGACAUCAAUGAAUAAGAAAACCAUCUACUAAUCUCAUAGCACAAGCCCCACCACAAUAUCUGAUAUAAUAAAAUGAGCCAGAUCACAAUCUACAAUGACAGGAAAGCGUUUACUAGAACAUAAACCACAAGGUGGAACCUCAGCAACAUUAGCAAAAGGGGUUACAAAUUUAAGAACAAUACCAUACGCAGGAUUAUUCCUGAUUUUUCCGUUUCCCGAAAGCAAAACGCAUCAUCGUCAUCAUCAUCAUCAUCAUCAUCAUCAUAUAGACAGAGCGAGACUGAUACAAAGAGUUAGGAAAAUUAGAUAUGUAUAUAUGUAUGCAUCAUUGCAUGCGUGCAUAUGUGUGUGUGUGUGUAUGUGUGUGUGUAUGUAUGUAUGAAUGAAUGAAUGAAUGAAUGAAUGAAUGAAUGAGUGAGUGACCGUAGUUGUGUUAUCUCUUGUUAAGCAAAACUUUGAUAUAACAUGCAGGUGGAAUACAAGGAGAUAAGACAUGAAAAUAUUUGCUUCCCUUAGUAAAACAUGAUUAUUGAUUGUUUGAAUUAAUCAAUUAUACACAUGUGUGUUUCCGUUAUUUCUUGUUACUUAGAUUUGAGAAACUCGCCUUUAUACACAAAACCAUAUUACUGGUCAAUUCACUAAAAUGUUAUGAAGGAAGCAUACGCAUGCUGUUUGUUCCUUCUCGAGACAUGCCUGGCUCGUAUAGGUUCCUCACCUGGACGGGAUGCCGGUCCGUUGCAGGUGAGCUGCAAGAUGCAGGAGGAAAGAGUGAGAGAAAGUUGUGACGAAUGAGUCAGCAGAAGUUCGCCAUUAUCUUCUGCCGGAGCCGCGUGGAACUUAGGUGUUUCGCUCAUAAACACACACAUCGACCGGCUUGAGAUUCGAACCCGCGAUCCCUCGACUGCGAGUCCGCUGCUCUAACCACUAGGCCAUGUGCCUCCACACAAGCAUAGACAUAUAUUCUAACUGUUAAUUCAGUUGUAAUAGAUAAAAUUCAAUAGUAAGUAUUAACUCGCUUCCAGAUAUCCUUGUGACUAAUGCAGCUGCUGUCUUGUUCUGAUGACAGAGUGUUAACUUUUUGGCAACCAAAUAUCUAUUGAUGACGUAAUAACUCCAAACUCUCCGAACAUUACAUAUUUGGAAGAACCAGCAUGAAUUCUAAAUAGCAGGUUGAACAGCGUUAUAAAUUAUGCUGUCCAGAUUGACAGACUGGAAUCGAAUUUGUAUUCAAAUCUUUGAGUUAUAUAUAAUUAUCUGCGAAGAAAUAACGAAAAUGAUAUUAAUACGAUGCCUUGCUAAAUUAGAACCGAUAUUUUUCUUGAAGAAAGAACAAGUUUUCAAGUAAUUUAUUAUCUUCCGCUCCAGAAGUUACUGUCAAACUUCGUUCUUGGCUCUUUGGAACAGAACAAUUUAUAGAAAAUAAAUGAAGAUUUUUCGGAACAAGUAAUAAUUUAUUGUAGAUUUCAGAACUCUUUUAUUAAAACACUGGUGGCCCAUAAUUCACUAAGAGUGAUAUAAAUGGUUUUGAGGAAUAAUUUCAUGAUCAUAUGUGCGAUGGUCUGGAUAUAAAUAAUCGAAUUCUAAGAAUUCUUCCAAAUCAAUAUCGGAUACAAAAAAAUGAUAAUUCUUGCUUUUCGCUUUCAUUUUCAAUCGCCUUAAAUUGGUAGCUACAAGGAUAGCUUAAUGAAUAAAUAUGUUUAUUUCCAUUUCCUUCAUAAAGUGUUUUAUGGAAUAUCUAAAUGGAGACAAGACACACACAAAUACACACAUACACACAUGCACGCACGUACACACACACUUACACACAAACACGCACACGCAAAUACACUGCAAUAUACCUGCUUCACAAAAUUCCAUGUGCAUUCUUGUAUGUUUGAAGGGAAUCCAUGAGGAAGAUUCGUAUUAUUGUUCAAGCAUUCUUUGUUUGAAUUCCUCAGUUGGGUAUAUUAUGGACGGCAUAGAGGGAACAAAGCAAAAUAGGAGAGUUUUUUAAUAAAAUAUUUCAUCACAUCAUCUAAUGCGCGGUUCAUUAACAGACAUUAAAUACAGGUACAUAAUUUAGUUUGUAUAAACAAUUGACAAGCAUAAUACCUCUUCAAAUGCUCCCAUGUGUAUGCGCUAUGAAAGGUAAAUACUUAAACAGACACUAUUUUUCCAAACCCUUAACUAAAGGUGAAUAAAUGAAUGCGCACGCACGCACACUCACACACAGACACACACACACACACACACACACACACACACAAACACAUUGGUAAUAAUUUUAUAGUCGUGCACCAGUCCAUACACGAAUAGGUCGAAACGUUCGUUGUGAAUAAAGACACACAGUAAUUAAGCUCCAUUUUGUUCCUCUUAUGUAUUUAUAUAUAUAUAUAUAUAUAUAUAUAUAUAUAUAUGGCGAUUUUUUUCCUCUGUCUUCUCUUCUCUGGAUCUUUCCUUCUCCUAUGUUUCCGACGAAGAACUCCGCUCGAAACGUUAAACCCUCCUUCUUUCUUUCUUUCCUGAGCGUCCAAUAAUACUAUAUUUGUUCCACGUCCUCGCGUUGUUGUGUUUUUUUGUUCUUUCUUGUUUGGAUUAACUUUAUAUAUAUAUAUAUAGUUGUGUGUGUGU
rnacentral:lncRNA from 1 species